rnacentral:lncRNA from 1 species
UAUUUUCUAGUCAAACUUAUUACAAAUAAUGGUAUGAAAGUUGUAUUGAUUUUAUUUUUUUAGGGUACGGAAGUUGUAGAGGGUCUUAAACUGGAUGUCAGAGCAUCAGAAGCUAAAUCACUGAGCACAAGAUCAUUUGCAAAAAUGAAAUGCUUAAAUUUACUCCAAAUCAACGGAGCACAUCUCACCGGAUCCUUCAAACUGCUUUCUAAAGAGUUGAUGUGGAUUUGUUGGCAUGAAUGUCCUUUGAAAUAUUUUCCAUCUGAUUUUACCUUGGACAAUCUAGUUGUUCUUGAUAUGCAGUACAGUAACCUCAAAGAACUAUGGAAUGGAAAAAAGGUACGAAACAUGUUACAAUCCCCAAAAUUUUUCUAAUAUGUAGUUUAUAUUUACAUGUUAUGACUUUCUAUGAUUAAUUUUCAUUAUUUUUCUCUCUAUUAUAAUAGAUUCUCGACAAGCUUAAAAUCCUUAAUCUCAGUCAUUCUCAGCAUCUUAUUAAAACACCAAACUUGCACAGUUCAAGUCUAGAGAAACUAAUUCUGAAAGGUUGCUCGAGUUUAAUUAAGGUGCAUCAAUCAAUUGAAAAUUUGACGAGCCUCGUUUUCUUGAAUCUGGAGGGAUGUUGGAGGCUUAAGAAUCUCCCUGAAAGCAUUGGCAAUGUAAAGUCUCUUGAAACUCUGAAUAUUUCUGGAUGUUCACAACUUGAGAAAUUGCCAGAACACAUGGGUGAUAUGGAAUCCUUAACUAAGCUGCUAGCCGAUGGGAUUGAAAAUGAGCAAUUUCUCUCUUCAAUUGGACAAUUAAAGCAUGUCAGAAGGUUAUCAUUGCGUGGAUACAGUUCGACUCCACCAAGUUGUUCUUUGAUUUCAGCAGGUGUUUCGAAUUUGAAACGUUGGCUGCCAACACCUUUCAUUGAAUGGAUAUCAGUGAAACGUCUUGAGCUUUCUAAUAGUGGUUUGUCUGAUCACGCAACUAACUGUGUUGAUUUCAGUGGUUUGUCUGCUCUAGAGUAUUUGAAUCUAGAUGGAAACAAAUUCUCUAGCCUUCCUUCUGGGCUCGGCUUCCUUCCCAAGCUAAGUUUGUUGUAUGUCCGGGCAUGCAAAUAUCUUGUAUCAAUCCCAGAUCUUCCCUCAAGUUUAGACUAUUUGUUUGCAUCUGAUUGCAAAUCAUUGAAAAGAUUAAGAAUACCAAGCGAGCCAAAAAAAGUAUCAGUUAUAAAGCUAGAUGGAAGUCAUUCGUUAGAAGAGUUUCAGGGCAUUGAAGAUCUAAGUAAUUGGUUCUGGUAUAUUUGUGUUGAUGACCGCAGUCAUUCAUCAAGUAAAUUACUGAAGAGCGUUGUUGAGGUACUAUUUCUUUCCGUCUCUUUUUCGCACAAAAAGAAACACACACAAUUGGCACAUACAUUGAAUAAUGUCUAAAUUCUCAGCAAUCCUUAGAAAUCAAUAUGUAUAUGGGCAAUUAUUAUUAUUAUUAUUAUUAUUAUAUUUAAAAAAACAAAUAUCAUCUUUAAUAAUAUUUUUUAUUUUUCUUAUUUAAUCUAAAAAAUUAAAUAUUAUGUUUAAUAAUAUUUUUUUUAUUAAAUAUUUAAAGUCUGAUUGGUUUUAUUUUUUAUUUCUUGAUUUUAUGAUAAUAUAUUUAUACAGACAAUGUGCAACGGUCGUCACGGGUAUUUUAUUCGUAUUCAGUACAUUCCUAGUGAGAUGCCAAAAUGGAUGAGCUACAGGGGAGAAGGAUGCUCAUUGUCAUUCCAUAUACCUCCAGUCUUCCAAGGCUUAGUUCUUUGGUUUGAUAAGGAUGAUAAGGACACUUCCGUUAAAAUUAUUAUAAGAAAUAAUAGCAAUGGUAUUUGCUUGUUUAAAUGUACGCAAUGGGCUUAUCAUCCAAAAAAUGGAUGUAUAAGAUACAUAAGUAGAAGUAAAAUGGCAAUGGAAGAUUACUGUGCAGAUGACGAAUUGGAACUAUCCAUUUAUUCACGGCAACGGGGGUAUUCACUGCGCAACGAUGAUUCAUACCAACCCGCAGACAUUAAAGAAUGUGCGGUCCAUGUGAUCGCAGGGAAGUCAGAUUCAUUUGAAGAGUUGGCAGUGAGAACAGAUACUGUGAUGCCUUCACCACCGCUGUAUCAUCUGCUUCCUCAUCCCCCAUUGUGGUUCGAUUACAGCGUCUACACCUAAGCAAUGGACUGACUUUUUAUUUGCGAAGCUGCAAAACCAUAGCCUCAGUUCAACUUUGGUAAGAACAUAUUUCAUUUAGUUAUUUUUAUUCUAUUAUUUAAUUUAUGAAUUAAAUAUUAUCUUUAAUUAUUUUAUUUUUUUAUUUAAUCUAAAAAAUUAAAUAUCAUCUUUAAUAAAAACAAUUAUUAAAUAUUUAAGGCUUUUUGGUAAGAAUACAUAUUUCCUUUAGUUAUUUCUAUUUUAUUCUAUUUAAUUUAAGAGAUUAAAUAUCAUCUUUAAUUAUUUUAUUUUUCUUAUUUAAUCUAAAAAUUAAAUAUUAUCUUUAACAAUAUUUUUUAUUAAAUAUUUAGAGUUUGCUUGGUUUUAUUUCUUUUCUUGAUUUUAUGAUAAUAUUUUUCUUAUUUAAUAUAAAAAAUAAAUAUUAUCUUUAAUAAUUAGAUCUAUCGAAUAUCACUUAAAAAUAAAUUAUAACUUUAAUAAUUAUUUUUUGAAAAACAAAAAGCCAACAAUCACUAACAUAUUUUAUUAAAAUCACUUUAGUUUAUUUAGAAAAUAUUGAAAACUGAUUUUUGUUUUUUACAUUAAAAUAAAAAAUUGAAUAAUGUUUUUAUAUUUUAUUUCAAACUCGAUAUUUUAAAACAAAAAUGAAAAAGAUGUGAUAUUGACCUUUUUAAUUUAACUUUCUUUUCAAAUUUGAUGGUUUUUUAGGAGAGGGGUAUCUUUGACGUUGAUUGACGUGAGAGUACAAGAUCAUUUUACAUAGAGAUGCUUGAAAUUGCUCCAAAUCAGUACGAUACUUUCAUCUGACAUGUUGAUAUGUAUUUAUUGGCUUGAAGAUUAUUUUCCAAGCUUGGAAGUUUUAUUGAAUUCUCUUUGAAAUCUUUUCCAUCCGCUGGACAACCUAGCUGUUAAUUAUUAUGCAUGAUGUAAUUUAUAUUUUCAAGUUACAAAUUUUGAUGAAUAUUGUUUCAUUUUUUUCCUCACUUCAAAAGAUGAAAAUCCUUGAUGUUAGUUAGAAAUAAAUUGGUUUUCUAGUAAGAGAUUAUUUAUUGGAAUAUAGUAUUUGAGUUGGUUAUAUAUAAUUUAAAAUAAUUAAUGAAAAUUACCGAUAUAUAGGAAAGUUUUGAGAGCAUCCUUAAUUAGUCUAGUAAGUAAAGUGUUGUUAGUUUUGACUAUAAGAUCUUGCUAUGUAUUAUUGCAUGGUUUUUACUAUUUUUAGGCAUUUUUCUUUUGGUAUAUACAACUUUUGUUUUUCUUGCCGUUUGUUAUUAGCUUUAUGGCACCAACACCAAUUAAUAAUAAAUCUUGAACUAUUAUUAAAUAAAGAAAAAAUAUAAACAUUGUUAAAACACCAAACUUGAAUUGCUCAAACCUAAAGAAACCCUAUGACAAUAAUCUAAUUUAGAAAAUAAUUAAUUUAUCCUUGUAGUCUAAGAAAAUAGUAUUUAAUUCUUAUGUUUUCAUAUACAUCUAUGAUUUAAUAUGUUGAUUGAAAUUGGCAAGUGAGUUUACUCGCAUAUUGUUAUAUUGGUUUUGAGUUCAAAUAAAUGUUUAAAAAGGAAGUUUUUUCAUGAAUGUAACCCUUCAUGUAUUCAAUAUGAAUGAUGGGAGAUUUUGAUGUCUUGUGAAUGCAUUUAUUUAUAUAUCGAUGAUUUUGUUAAGAAUUGGUUGGUAAAAAACUUAAUUUCGAUAUAUAAAAACCGAAGAGAGAACAAUAAAUAGAGAGACUAGUAAAGAUUUUAUGUGCUUUUUUUUUUUUUAAUUGGAUUACCUUUGUCUUUUGUUUCAAGUAAAAUUCUAGUAUAUAUCACUAAAUUAAGAAUUAAAGGUCUAAUUAUAUGAACACAAUUUUAAAGACUACAUCAACUACAUUUCAUAUGCUCAACUCUAAGCAAAUUGAAAUUUCAAGGCCAUUUGUAUCUUGAAAACACAAUCUCAAUAAUUUUAAUAUUGAAUUAUUAUUUGUUAGGUAACUAAGAUUUGUUGACUUGAAAAAUAGCACUAAGGAACACAAAUUCGUACUGUUUAUCUUCUUGGCAUUGUUCAAAGGAAUGCAAAAAGACACUCCAAUUGUGAAAAUGUAUUAUUGUCAUAAAGUAAAACUUCCAAAGAGUGAAAUAAAGAGCAAGAGCAAAAAAAUAAUUUGUGUGUGUAUAAGCUAAUUGAAAUGAAGAUUAGAAUAAAAAGGAUAAAAAAGUGAGAGACUCGUUAAGAUUUUAUGUUAAUGCUCAACAUGUUCUUUCUUAUUUAUUUUUAAUUGGAUUACCUUUAUCUUAACGAGUGAAAUAAAGAAACACUCCCCCAUCUUUUUUAUUCCCUUUCCCUUCUUUACAUGGCUUACUCAAUGAAAAAGCAAUUAAACACCCCAUUUGAUUUUCAAUCAAUAUGAGAGUGAGAAAGAGAGAGGCCAAGGUGGUCUUUGAAUAUUUUCUUCUUUUUUGUCUCGCUCACUGGGGCAAACCAUUUUUUUCAAAAUUUUGAAUAGCAUGCCAUCAAAAAGAAUUUUGUUCAAUCCCAAUCCCACAUACACUUUGUUAUUUUCCAAUCCCUCCCUAGUUCUGCAACCAUUUCUCUACUUUCUAUGCUCUUGGCUUGCUAAAAACUAAAGAAAACACAUUGCUCUAGUUGCCUGCCUUCACUCUUCAGAUUGCUCAACAAAACCCUUGAGACCUUCUCCAUAGUUAACAUACCACAUAAUGGCUACUCUAAAAAAUUUAGCCAUAAACAAUGAACACCUUAGGCAAUCAACGUCCCUUCCUUCAUAAUAUGCAUCGCCCAUAAAUCUUUCUUUUGGGAUGUCGUCGGGAGUUUAAUCUCCGAGUGUAAAAAUUAUGUAUAAAUUUCCAUUCUUUCCUUCCAUCCAUUACUUGUCCUCUAUGAAGAUUUUAUGUAUGAAACCUCGGAAUCUUUUCAAGUAUAACUUGGGAUCAACAGCUGAGAUAGACGUGGGAUCCACUUGUAUGCAUGCUCUAGCUUUUUGCUGAUAUCAUAAUCCUGGAGGAUGUCAAUGAUACCAAAGUGAAGAACUACAUUGAAGAUCUCUUUACCAUUGUGUGAAGGUGUUGAAUUGUUACUUCCACCCCCCAUCCACUGAUCCAUUUCAGUAGUCCUCAUUACAUGCUCGGCUCUUGCAGGCACAUUUGCCCCCAGUCAGAUGAAUGGCCCCCUGGAACAGAUUUCAUAUGAGUACUACAAGCAUGCAACGCCAGUUAAAAUCUUGACAUUGCAUCACACAAUCACCAAAAUUCAAAGUAACAAAACGAAGAACAAAAUGUGAUAACAAUGACAAUGACACUUUUCAUCAUUAAUUUUCCUUUUCACAUUGAUUUUCAAUGUUCCGGGCAGAUAAAAUAGCAUUGAUUUACAACCAUGGUUUUAAGGCAUCAUUAUUGGCAAAAACAUUGUAGGACAAAGCAGACUUAAAGAUCAAUGCUUCAGUUGUCAAUCACAUUAAUAAUUUAUAUUUGAUCGUCUAAAAGGGCCUAGAAUAGGACCAGGUAAAAGUUUGUUUUUAUCUAAGAAAGCAAGAAGGUCUCCACAAACUACCCCCAAUUUCGCCACUACAGCCUAAGUCACUUUGAGUCAUUCCAACAAAUAGGAAUUGAAUUCAAAGGAAUAAAUCAUUAAUUAAAUGCAGGGCUCCAAUGUGGGAAAGGGAAAAUGAUUCACUAUUAAAAAGAAAAGCUCAAACACAAAUUAUAGCUUCACUUUUUGUGAAUUAUAUCUCAAAUUUCAUUGGCUGGAUGAUUUAUUGAUAUUUUAAGAAAGCAGUCUUCAUUGCUUUUCAAAACCAUACUAUGGGUCCAUAGACAACUAAAGUUAAACAUGUGGCACAUACCUAGUAGAAAAGAAGAUGCCACAACAUUGCACUUCAUUGCUUUUCAAAACCAAACUAAAGUGCAAUGUUGUGGAAUCUACCUAAUGAGUUCAUUAAACCAUGACCGUUCCAGGCAAAAUACAAAGUUUAGAUCGAGGUCCUUAAGUGUGGUUGUUUCAUCAAUUUCACCAUCAAGCUUGUAAGUCGUGCGUCCAUGAAAAGAGCCUUUCAAGUCAAAGCGUUUAUGGAUACGGUACUCGGAACAAAACAGGUUUCUCAUUACAACAAAAUGAGUCUAGAAUUACAUUGCAUUGUGAACAGUAAUUAGAAUAUGAUUAUACAUUAUGUAGAAAGAACAUCUCAAUGAAAACUGUACCGUCGUGAUUAUACCUUUCGACCUCCCACUGGUUUAACACAAUGUACACCAAAGAAAUUUGUUACCAAGGAGUUCUUGUACUGGCAAACAUGUUGGUAGUAACUUGGAAGCAUCUUAAUAAGAACCUGAAUAUGGUUCACAAUAGGUUGUGAAAUCUAUCCACAUGAUAAAAAUUAAAAAUAAGUGUCUAAGACUUAAAUUGGUAUAUAGAACCAAAUUACUUGCCCUACGUAUUGCUACUUGAGUAAUAAUCACUUUCAUACAUUUGCUGCUUUGUAACAUGUUGAAUUGCGAAUUUAGGGUAGCUAAAUUACUAACCUUGACUUCAGAUUUUUUCACAGUUUUGAUUAUGAAACGAUCAUCUUGAGUUAGAUAAAAGAAGCUUCCACUCUUCCCAGGGGAAGAAAAUUCUCUAAGUGCAUCACUUCCACAAAUCGUUGCAUGUAAUUCACUGGAUCUAUUGAAAACAAUUCCCUCAGAUAUCUAAACACCAAACAAACCAACCACCACCAUAACAUAGGAAAUCAGAGACAAAUUCAAUAUCUCCUUUCUUGGACAUUCAAUAGAAGAUUAAAAAUGAAGUAAUAAAGCAUUAUAUGUUCCAAAAAUCCGUAAAAAAAUAAUAAAAAUUCCUAAAAAUAAUACCUGAAUACCAUGGGACAAUAAUCCUUCCAUCUGAAAUCCAUAGAUUGAUGUGGAAGCCUAGACUUUGAUACUUCCGGUGGAAACCUUGUCCAGAACUUUUCUUUAGGAUAAAACAUAGAAGCCUCCACAUUAUCAACAAUAUCACAAGUAAUAUCACUAGCCUCCCCAUCCAACUCCUAAAUACAAAUCCGAGGAAAAUUCCCAUCCACUGAUGACCUCUUCCUCCCUCCCCCAGCCCCAACUACUGGAUCCAAUGCCACCCCUUUAAAAUCCUCUCCACCACCACCAAGAACUCUCCCAUUCACAUUCCCACUACCAAAUGUAAAAAUUCCUUUCCCUUUAGGCACCCCAUUUUCCAAGUACCCUUCAUACCUCUUCCCAUUAACCCAAACCAAUACCCGUUUCCCAGAUAUCACCCCAUGUUUCCACUCACCAACAUACUCAUUCCCAUUACACCACCUAUACUUCCCUUCCCCAUCCUGCAAAUUAAACUUCCAAAAACCUUGAUAAACAUCCCCAUUGGCGUACCUUGUCUCACCAAAGCCAUGCUUUUUAUCACUAAUCCAAUUUCCAAUAUAAACUUCACCAUCUACACCAAUAAAAGUACCAUAACCAUCCAUUCUCCCUAACUUAAACUGACCUUCAUAAGUAGCUCCUGAUGGCCAAGAAAACUUCCCACCUCCAUUAGCCUUCCCUCUCCUCCACUCUCCUUCAUACAUACACCCAUCACACCACAAAUACUUCCCCUUCCCAUGUGGCACACCAUCCACCACUCCCCCAGCAUAAAUAUCCCCAUUGGGCAACACCUUCUCCACCAAGGAACAACCAGUGUCAAUACGAGAAGUGAUGGUGGUGGUCAUCGCGUCACGCGUGGGAGUCACGCGCCGGUAGUUGGGCUGGGAUCGGGUUCUUGUGGUCACUAUAUGGAACAAUGAGGGGACUAGCAAAGACACAUCUUUGCUGUUUUUGGCUUUGAUUUUGGUGUUUUCUGAUAGUGUGGCCAGAAGGGUCUCUUGAAUUUUGCUUUUUAUGCCGGUAAAUGCACCGGCGGAAACAUUUUCGGUGAUUGUGCUAUAUUCUUAAACGGUUUUCUUGCUCUUUUGUGAGUCAAAAAAUAAAAACAAAAAAUGUAGCUUUCUUGUUGCUUUGAAGAAUGGGCGAGAGAAAUGGCAGAAAAAACAGUGGAAGGGAAGAGAAAAAGCAGAAGACCAAAGACAGAGAGAGAGGGAAUGGGCCGUCUUUUGUUGUUGUUUUUGGUGUCUGUCUAGUCUAGGGAAGCUUGUCGGCAGGCUUUGUUCCAGAGAGGGAUCAUUUUUUGUGUUUUAAGAAAUAUAGGGAGUAAAAUGGGAUUAGGCUUUGGGUAUUUUUAGUAAAACCUACACUGUUAAGGUCGGGUAAUAAAACAAUAUUAUUUUACUAAAAAAAAAUCAAUAAAUUGAGAAUUGGUUAAAUAACCAGCCAUUUCCGAUUUUAUAACGGUGAUUUCAGGUGAGUGAGGUAUUGUUGAGGAAUUUAGGGUUUAGUUGGGGGUAUUUUAGGGAUAUUUGGGAGAAAGGGAAGAUAUAAUUAAGGUAGGAAGAACAUUUCUUGAUUUAUGUAAAUUGAUUAAUUUAAAGAAGGUUUGAUUGAUAAUGCAACCCACAAACAUUUAAACAUUUGUAGAGUGUAAUUGACUAAAAAAAAUGAAUAAAAGACAUUAUGAACAAAUCAUUCUUUAUUAUUUAAUUGAUUUGUCAAAGUUUCUAAUUUUGUUUUAAAACUUGUUUCAAUUGGCUUUUUUUUUUUUUGCUUUUUUUUAUAUUUUAGAUAUUUUUAUAAAAAAAAUAAAGUAAUUAUUAUUGUAUAUAUUUAAAUUAAACUAGAUAUGAUAAUUAACAAUCAAAUUAAAGUUUAUAUGAUUUUAGUGAUUGUAUAUUUUUUUUUAAAAAAUAGAUUAAAAAAUGAAAAAAAAACAUAUAAAAAUAAAAAUACAAAUCGUAUCAAUUUAAUAUGGGAUAUUAAUAGGUAUAUGUGAGUAGUUUAGUUUAAUAGAUGGAGUACACAAUGGUAGGUGUUCCAGGUUUUUUUUUUUUUUUUUUGUAUAUUCUCUCUUUUUUUCACUUUUUGUGAUACUAAAUCAAAUAUAUUAUUACUAGAUAUAAAAUAAUUUAUUCAUUGCUUAAUUAAAAUAUUAUAAAAAAAAUUAUCUUUUACCAAUUUAAGAUUUUUAUUAUUUAAAAUUUGAGAUGAUAAUGUAGAAUAAUUUUGCUUGGACCGACAACAUCUCCAGCAUAUACACAAUACUAUUUUAAUUUUUUUAGUAAGGCAGUGCAUCUUAGUUGUACAAGACAAUGCAUGGUUUAUCCAAGCAAAAUAAUUUGCUUAGACUUUUCUUAAAUUCUUCAAACCCUAAACAUGAUUUUCAUCUCAAAUUAUUCUUUAAUGAAGUUGAUUAGAAUUUGAUCAAUUUCACCAAGGAAGAGAAAAAAAAAACUAUUAUUAUGCUCCCAAUCUCUCCCUCAACUGUAAUUAUAAAACUUGAUUUGAUAAUCAAUUUAAAAUAAAAUUCAAUAUUAAAAAAAUUAAUCUAAAUUAAUCAGAAUUGAUUUUAUUUUUUAAAAAAUACAAAAAAUAGUCAAUAAAUUAAGAAUUAAGUUUUAUUCUUUAUAACUUGGGUUUUUGACCAAAUUAAGGUAUGUUAUUUUUUUUAUAUUUUUAAUUUAUCCUCUAAAGGUUUGAACAUUGCUCUGUUUUUUUUUUUUUUCCAUUUUAUUUCUCAAAGCUAUAGUGGUAUAUAAAUUUCUUUAGCUGGUGUUAAAUCUUCUAUCCAGACUUUAAACAAUGACAUGUGGGAAGAAAACAAGUGAAGUGUCAGUCACUAAUUACCAUAUAUACAGAAACUGUCACAAUUAAUAAGGUAUACAGAACCAUUAUAAAAGCUAAUUUUUAAUGGCAGUUUCCUCGGUGGAUGUCCAUACAAGAAAGGGCAUCAAUUAGAAUAGGUGUCUUAGUUAUAGGUAUAUGCCCUAACUAUUCUUCAAGUAUAAAUUUACACCAUUGUCAUUGUAAAUAUUUUAUUUAAAAAUGUUUAUGGAUGGCAAUAGAUAAUAACUUGGCACAAGAACUAUAUCACAACUUAAAAAUAAGUUUAUCCAAGUCAAUUUUAAAUAUUAUGAAUAACAAAGUUAUUAAAUCUAUUUCAAUUCAUGAUUUAGCCCAAAACCCAAUACAAUUUUAAUUUUAGGAAAAAAAAAAAAGUUUAAGAGAAGAAAUUUAUUGAUUAAAUAAGGAUAGUAAUUUCACCAAAUCCAAUUGAUACCAACUAGAAUGGAUAUUGAUUUUUUAGACCUGAUAAGAUUUAAGUCAAAAUAUAAAAAGUCAAGUGUUGGGUUGGGUAGGAUAUUGAUUUACUCAACGGAACCGAAACAAAUAAAUAACCUUAAAUUUUAAAAAAAUUACAUGUAUACCAAGCCAAUUAUAAAUUAAAUAAUUGUAAAUUAUAGCAUUCGAGCUUUAAGUCUAGAUUAUAAAUACUUGAUAGGUACUCGAAAUCUAAUCAAGUUAGUUUUUGGUAUAAAAAAUUUAUACAAAGUCAAACUUGACCAAUGAGUAUCCAUAGCCAUCCCUGUAAACAAAUGCAUGUGUUUCCAUGAGAAUGAGUUGUCGAAGAAGUUCAAAGGGCAAGGAGGGAGAGUGCUUUAAAAAAAAUAGAGUAGAGAAUAAAACAGGGGAGCAAUGCUUGAGAACAUGCAUUGCUGAACUUCUUGCUUGAUUUCGCCAUGUUAUGGAAGCAUAAAACCUUCACAAUACUGCUUCACACCUCCUUUUCUAUGCUAUCAUGCCAUGAACAUAUGAUGACAAGAGGCCUUGCAAGGACACAUCAAGGUGAUGUUUAAUAUAUAUAUAUAUAUAUUUACUUUUAGAAUGUUUUAAUGUUAAAAAUAAAUUUUAAAAAAUAAAAAAUUUCAUUUCAAUUUAUUUCUAAAUAAAAAAUAUUUUAAAAAAUAACAUUUACAAAAAAUUAUCUUAGUGCAUUAGAAGAAGCAAAAUCCAACUCUAAUAUGAUCUAUAAAGUGACCAACCAAACUUAGCACCUGGAAACUAAGCGCGCAUUUGACUAAAAAAAGAACUUUUAUUUCUUUAAGUUCUUAAGAGUUCUUUUUUUUCUUUCUAAUCAUUUUAUAAAACAUUUUAUAAAAUUCCUAAAACCAAGUUUUUGAGAUUUGAAAUUAACAUGAAAUCAUUUUAACAACAUAUAUUAUCAAAUACCUUUACGAUCAUAGCUACAACCACAACUAAAAGCCUAGGCCCUAAGCCUUUUUUUCUUCUUCAGGUUCGCAUUCAAACGAAUAAAUUCAUCGAAAAUUUCCGUCUGUCUCAACAUUCAAAUCCAAAAUGAUAACAUAAAAAUUAAACUCUCAUCCUAGAUGAGCUAAAUAUUUCGAUCCAGACUCAGACAAGAACUAGAUGUAUUUCUAGGGUACGCAGAACCAUCAUUACUUGUUGUUGUAUACUGUAAAUGUCAGUUGAUUCUUGCAGUACUUCUGGAAACAAUUUUUUUUUUCUUUUUUCCUUUGAAACAAAUUUAUUUUUCUCUUUGAAUAUAUUCAGGAAAGAGGAAAUAAAGAAUGGUGUAAAUCAAAAGAAAAGAAAGGUGCAGAUUAUGCUGCUAGUCAAAAUUUUGAUCAGUGGAUACUUGGCCAAAGAUAUCAGGACAUGAUUCCCAGUUGCCCCUUUCCUUGGCUUCCCAGUAACCACCAAUAUAGCUAUAAGUUUCACCGCCUUUCUCCUUCACAAACCACCGAGGCUUCCAACCUCUCUCUUCCAUCUUCCGUGCCUGUGAUUGUUGAAAAGAAUUCUUAUUAUCCUCUAAUUUACUACAUUUCAUAAACAGUAGUCAGUAGAAGUGUCGUGCAAGUGUGUGUACAAAUGCAUUGGUGUAAAUACAGCAAGAUCAUUCCUUGAUGCAUGCACGUACCUGUCGUUGCCUCUGCUCUAGUCGUAACUUCUCUUCAUUGGCCUUUGUAUACUCUCCAUUUUCCAAGCAUCUCUGAUCAGGUCUCAGCCUGGAGUCUGUUGAUGGCAGUUUCUCCUGCGUAUAAAUUUAAUGUCAGCAGCUACGAAUGGAUACCUUGUUCUCUACUGCAGAGGAGCAGUGAGACAUGGCAUUUCUUGUAAAGAAAGAUAUUUAUCAUAUUCAAAUCUUUCACCAACCUUAAGCUCCUGAUGCGGAACAAUAAAGAAUAAGAAUUAAAACAGGAAAAGAAAUAAGCUUUAGGGGAAAGAAAGAAGCUAGAGAAGAGGAAGAAAGGGGAUUGGAGAUAUGCAAAUUCUGCAAUUUUCAUUAAUCAUCAAAAGUACCUCUCAAAAUGACAAAAGAACAUAUAAAUAGUAAACCCUAAAAGUAAACCCUAAACAUCCUGCUAUUUGGGCUCGGCCCAUCAAAUCGAACUGUUUAAUAUAAAUAACAAUGAGUAGGCCCAGAUGGGCUAAAUAAAUAAAUAACAAUAAGCAGGCCCAAAUGGGCUAAAUAAAAUAACAAUGAAAUAGGCCCACAUGGGCUUAGUCUCCCAACCAAAGUGUGACAGGCUGGGCCAUCCUACGCCGUCUCCGUCCAUAUACUUGUGUAAUCUGUGGUGUGGGCCUGGUGUCUCCACCAGCUCCGGUGUGAGCUCAUUCAGAGUUAUAGCAAAGCGUGUUAGAUUGUAUCUGGUCAGAUGCUUUGAUGGUUUACUCCGCUUCCAGAGCAAAUGGGGCUCUGAUCCGUUUGCAUUCCUUGAACCACCAUUAAUUUUAUAGUGCAUGCUAUCAUCCCAUUUUCCAAAUAAACUUGCCACUGUUUUACCAUUCUUAUCUUGAACACCACCUAGUACCUAGAGAACAAAUAGUAUUGCUGCAAUUAAUGGUAAUGCCUAAUCAUGAUUCAUUCACAAAAUGAGAUAAUGCAAUGAGAACCUGAUAUGAGGGAAAACAUCAACAGACAAAUAUUGAUAGUCUUAUGGGUGACAAGCUAAUGGUCAAAUGAUUUUUCACCAAGCAAGCUUGAUAUCAUUACAAAAAAUGUGUUGGAAAUUGUUGCAUGAAAGGGCAGAACCUCUAAAGUAAUGUGCACGGGUAUACAAAUUUGACUAUACAACCGACAGAAAAGAAUAAGCCAGGAAUCAAACUAUCAUUAGAACAAAAAACCUGAGCUUAGGCUUAGCCUGUAGGAUACAAGUUUAACAAACUUAAAAAGCAAAAGAGACCUUGGAGACAAAACAUAAGCGAAAUAUUAUACAGCAUGAUGUGGACCUGGAAAAAGAAAUUUUUAGAAAAAGAGAUAUUUUCUAAUAAAUCUUCGAGGAUAGAAACUCCCAAUAUAUUCCAGGAACACUAGCGUCACUAUUCUUUCAAGCAGUCAAGUGCUUCAGUAGUACAAUGACUACACAUUAGUUGCUUUAUUAAAAUGAAAUUCAAGAUGGAUCAUUUACUUUGAUGAAAAAUAUGGAAAUGGGGAUAUUGGAACCUGGUGGGGAUUCCUGUCAAUGAGUGACUGCUCUUUGAAUUUUAGCUUGCAGGAGUAUUUCUGAUUCCCCUGUAUCUUCAUUGUACCAUAAUGAUCACAGUAUAGUUUCCCUAAAAUGAGGUUGUAAAUGGAUGUUGUCACCUGAUAAGAGAAAGACAGCUUAGCAGGAAUCUUAUAGAGAAUGGUAAGAGCUGUAAAAUGCCAAAAACAAACCUUACUCCACUGGAAAAUUUCUCCAUCAUCAAACUCUAGUGUUAAGGUGCCAACAGGAUCAAGUUGAAUUGAACGACCCCAAAAUUUACUUUUUAAAUCACUUUCACCCCAAAAUUUCCAGCCUCGACCCUCACAAUGGCAGGCAACAACCAUUGGGUGAUGACUAACCUGUUUCAAGAUGAGCCACAUUGAUAUGUUAAAAAUCAGUAGUGGCAUUUGCUACUUACUGACAAUGUGUAAAUGUGUGCAAAUACGCUUUCAAUUACAUAAUAUUUUUCUUUUCAGAAGCAACCAUAAAAAGGCAUGUCAUAUUAGACGUGUAUAAAUAAAGAACGAUUGCUUAUGGUGCUUCUAGCAGUGAUAGAGACACCUUCUCAGAGAUAAAGCGAAUGCCUUUAUCAGGAUAAUCGGCCUCAUAUGUUUCCCCUAGUAGUGGAUUGAAUGGCUUGCAAUGUCUUCCAUCAGUAGAGGCAUAUCCUGAUACUGCAAACGCUGCCACAUUGAGUGCUCUCAUAAGGCUAUUACCCUACAAAAAAUAAGCCAAGAUCGUGAGCACAUUUAUUAAGAGAACAGUGUAGGGUGAGAGGGUGAUUUGUCCAAAAUUCUUCCAAGAAAACUAAAAUACUGCACACUUGGCACUGAGAGCACUAGGAUUUAGGACACACUUCCACAUACAAGCACAGAGACCAUGCAGCAGCAACAGUCUGAUUAAUAGUAGUUCACAACAGAGCAUUUAAAGUAUAACUUCCAUGUCCAUAGCUUCUUAAGAAAUCUUGUGAUGGCUGUAAUAAAACAAUAAUAGGCGCAAGCAACAAGUCUCUUUGGUAGACACACUAGUUUCAAGUAGGAAAAAUCAUAACUUUGCUUUUGCAAGACAAGUAAAACUAGCAUGGUUUCAAAAAUAGUAAACGCUAGUGGCAGGCAUACCCCAAAAAGUUUGUAACCAGCAACGGUACAUUGACUAAAUGACAAGUAUGUGGUUUUUUUUUAAAUCAACUGUCAGAAAAGGAUAAGAAACAACAAGAAAGGAUGAACCUACCAUUUUACCAAAUUCAUAGGCUCGAUCUAUGUUGUAACCUAUUUUUGGGUCCCCAUAAAAAAUAAAAUAAAUAGCCAAAAAAGGUUAGAAAAAUAACAGGAGGCAUGAAGCGCCCAGAAAAUGGUUAGAAAAAUUAGUCAAGGAGGUUAAAAAUACAGAGAUGAAUUUUUGACAAUAUAUUCUUGAAUGAUGAGAGCCCUGGUAAGAAAAUUUGAUUUUUUGAGGAGAAAAGUCCAAAUUUGGAGAUUUAUGGACUUAAUUGGAUUUUUAAUUGAAUUUAUAAAGGGUUUGAUUGCAAGAAAAAUUGAUUUUUAAGUCAAUUUGGGCUUUAAUUGGAAGAAAUUUAAGUUUUGGGGCCAAAAUAUAUUUUUUAGGAAUUUAUUAGGUCAAAUCAGGGGCUUAAUUGCAUAAAUAUUGAAGUUUAAUGGCCAAUUAGGGGCUUAAAUGUGAAAAUCCGAAACCAGGGACCAAUUUGGAAAAGGCGCGAAGAUAGAGGGGGCUGUAUUGAAUUGAUUCAGGGGCCUAAUUGAAGAAAUUGGAAGUUUAUUGAUCAAUUGAGGGUCAAAUUGCAUAAAUCAGAGGACAAGGAUCAAAGUGGAAAAGGCGGCCAAAUAUGAGGGCGGCAAUUGAAUUUUCGAAGGAUGCAAUUGAAAUGAACAAAAGAAAAUUGAGGGUUGAUUUGAAAAUGGAAACGUUCUGGCGCCACAUUUAAAUGAAACGACGCGUUUUGUCCAAAACGACGCCGUUUCAUGUAAAAAAAAAAAGAAAAAAAAAAAAGAAAAGGAGAAGAGAACUAACCGAAGGGAGGAGAGAACUGACCGAAGGGGGGAAGGGAGAAGAAAAAACCCGAGACUAAGAGAGAGAGAGACUGAAGGAGAGAGAAACAGUUGAACUAAAGUAAUAAACACAUAAAACUCAAGGAAACGAAACUGGGAGAAGGGGGAAGAGGACAGGAGCCGGGGAAGAGCUUAGAGAAAACGAAGACCGAGCAGCACCGCCAGGUUACCGAACCGUUGGGAACCGCCGCUUUGAGCCACCAACCUCCGCUGCAGCACCAUCAACACGGACGUUCGACCAACAGCAUCGCCUCCGCCGUGCCAGGUAUUCUUCUCCCCCUGCAUUUUUCAUUUUGCCCUUACUUUAGUUCUUUCCUCAUGCAUGCAGAAUCGUUCUGCAUGCAGGAGUUAGGGGAAGGGAAAAUAAUUCCCUUCCCCGUUGGGUUCUUAUACUGGGCCGGGUUUCCGGCCCAGUUUUGUUAUUAGUUUUUUUGGGCCAGACCGAGUCUGGCCCAAAGAGAAGUUUUUGUUGGGCCGAGAUCGGCCCAGCCACCUUGCGGGCCGAGAUCGGCCCAAUCCUGUUUUGGGCUGAUGUUUGGCCCAUUUCCAACUGGGUUGGGUUCGGCCCAUUUAGUUGGGCCGGCCCAGCCCGUUUUUUAUUUUUAUUAUAUAUAUUAUGAAUUAUAGUAGAUUAUAAUAUAUAUGUGUGUAUAUUGUGUAUAUAUAUUUUUACUUUAAAAAAAAAUAUAUUUCGAAAAAAUCUAAAAAAAAAAUAUUGUUGAUUUCCUUGAAUAUUUUUGUCAAAAUGGGUUAAUGUUGGUUGGUAUUUUUAUACUGUAAAGAUACAAAAUCAAUGUUAAAAAUACUUGGUUUUCGUAAAAACAUCAAAGAUUUUCAGAAUAAGAAAUGUUUUUGCUUUCAAAAAAUUUUCUAAAAAAUCCCUAAAAAUAUUGUUGAUUUUUCUGCAUUUUUUUUUAUUAAAGUGGAUUAAUAUUGGGUUGUAUUUUUAUACCGUAAGGAUACAAGCUCAGUAUUUAAAUACCCGAUUUUCGUCAAAACCUAAAAAACAAAAAAAAUAAUAAUAAUAUUUUCAAAAAUUGUUUUGUUUUAAAAUACGGCCUGGUCUCUCCAAUAUAUAUAGAUAUAAACAUUAUAACAUCAUAUUUUUUUUACACAACAAAGAAAAUUUUCAAAACAAUAUAUGAAUUAGCAUGCAUUUUGGCUUUAAUGACCAGUUUAUUUAAGCCAUGAGAACUAGGCCAAUAUUUCAAAAAAAUUCUAAAAAUCUUUUUGUUUUCUCUUAGUAUUUGGGAUUACGAAUUUAUACGUAAAACGUAUUCCUAAAUAUUAUUUUUUUGUAUAGACGUUAGAACGGUUAGGAUUUUACUCGAUAAGAUAAAAGACCUUCUUACUGAGGAGGAUUUUUCUUGAACCAUAGACAGACCCACGACUAGAAGUACAAUAACAUCUUAGUUUUUAUCAGACAAUAAAACAAUGCAGCUUACUUUAGGUAGGGCGUAUUUGGGGUGCUAAUACCUUUCCUUUACGCAACCAGUCCCCAUACCCGAUCUUUGAGACCAGUUAGGGUUCUUAGUGACCAAAAUACUAAGUGGCGACUCCCAUUCCAUUUUCUACUCACAAAAGACAAUAUUUUCUUGUAUCCCCAUAGAUAUGGAUAGAUUUACAUUGUAGAUAAGAAAAUGGAACAACCAAUAUAAUUUUCGCCGCGACGCCGCACACGUGCGACAAUCUAGAAGGAACGAGUAUUCCAAAUCCUCAAAACAUUUCUGUAAAGAAGAGAUGGGCUCAUUGAAAUAAACUGGAAGACAAACUCUAGUAAGAUCCUUCCCGAUAUUAUCUUUAAUCAUUGACCAAAGACUGACCCCCUUCUCCUUCUCAACUGGGUCAGGCAAUUUCUUUCGCCUCAUAACACAAGGGUAGUUAGAUCCAACAAAUUUGAUACAGGAAUCCAUGCCAUCUUCAAUAUCAAGCGGGCCUUCGUCUUCAUCAGAAUCAUAUGGUGUUUUCUGAAAUUCAGAUUCAGCACUUUUAAACGAACUUGAUGAAAGAAAAUCUUGAGUAUCAAGGAAUUCAUCGUCAUCAUCUGUUUCCUCCUCUGCAGCAUCAUGUCUGUCAUGAUCAUCAUCGGAGCCACUUGCACUUCCCUCUACAUAAAUUCCACACAAAGAGGGUCAAAAGAUAAAGUUAAAAUGGAUGACAGAGUUCAAAAGGAAAACAGAGAAAGAGGCUAAAUAUUGAAGACACGAGCAAGAGACAGGGGGCGAGAGGCCAGGUGUUGGUUUUCAAUUAUCCAUGAGAAAUCAAUUAGAAAUAGGUAUGUAUAUAAAUGAGUUUGAUUUAAAUAGCUACUAGUAUAGCAAUCAACUUGGGAGUUUUGAAGCAGAGAAACUUCAGACAAGGGUAAAGUAACAGGCCACAGGAAUUCAUCAUAAAAGCAGAUAGAGGUGCCUCAUUUAACCCACUCACAGACAGCUCAUCAUUCGCAUACAAGGCGCCAUGCAAGGCAGCUGAAAGUAUUUCAUAGCAUCCAUUUUCAGAACAAAGGAACUUCUAACUAAGCAAAACUAUAAUUCAACCAAACAAAAGUUAACUAUAGAAUCCAUGGCUGGUCCUCCAAACAUUUCUUCUUACAUAUAAUCAGCUGCUAAAACAAAUAAACAUGCACAAGUAUUGCAUUCAAAUUUCAAUCUAACAUGAAGGAUUAACAAACACGUCAGAUUUAAUUAUUCCAUAACCCACUAUUAAUCUAUCAUCAUUACACAUAAUUUAUGUAAGAUUAUCUUUUAUCUUUGACAAUUAUUGCAUUGCUAAUAAUUUGCAAGAAAACAUACUUUUUCAAUUUCCUUUUAUUUUUUUUUAUUAUGUUAGUAGAUGCUAGAUGCUGUUUGUUUUUGUGUUUUAAAAAUAUUUUUAAAAAAAUUUGAGAUUUUUUUAUUUUUUUUAUUUACUUUAAAUUAAUAUUUUUAGAUUAAUUUAAUACGUUAAUUUUAAAAAUAUUUAAAAAUAAUUCGAUGGUUUUUAAAUAAAGUUUUUUUUAGAAAAUCAUGACCCAUCACUGGGUAUCGAAAAAACAAUUAUGGUUGAUUUAGCCUCAUCUUCUCUGCUUGUAAAAUUGAGGCAGAUUAUGAACUUAACCGAGCAAUUACGGCUUGAAAUUCCUAGCAAUUUACAAAGGAAUUUUCCUUGUUCUUUCUCUAUACAUUAUUAGAAAAACUGUCAUUGACUGAUUUAAUUGCAAAGUCUUUGCAAGAAAGCUAAAACAAUUAGAGUUUUUUAAAAUAAAAAAAAUAUAAAGAAAAAAAUAAAAAUUAAAAAUUAAAAAAGGAGCAAAAGGAAACAACCCCCGUAUUUAUUGUUCCCUUUCCCGUCUUUACAUGGCUUGAUGAAAAAGCAAACACCCCAUUAGUUGUUGCCACCAAAUUCAACUACACGCUUGAGAAAUUUCCUUGCUUUUUUCCCCUCUAAGUGUUACCUUUUACCUCUUUUAUAAUUUUGAUUAUUGCAUUGCUAAUAAUCUGCAAGAAAGAUGAUGAAAAUUUUUUAGUGAAUUCAAAAUAACAAAAUAAGGUUUGUCGAGGCUUUUCUUGGAACCUCGCUAGGGGUUUAAUUAGCGAGAAUGAAUUCUACAAAGAUAUCGGACUGUGAGUUUGUUUCACAAUAAUGACCUUGUGGGUGGACAAUCAGAAUACGUUAGUGAGACAAAAUAUAAUGAGGUUAAUAAUGGGCUUCUACCACUCAUCAUUUAUCCCCAGGGAAGGCCAGGUAGGCCUAGGCCACUGCUUCUGUUAAAAAUACACUUAAUUCAGCUUAGGCAUCAACAAUAUUUUGCAUUAGUCUUACCACUACAUUAUAAUUAUAAGAGCUGUCAAGAUUCUGUUAAGUUAAUCUUUUAACAGAUCAUAGCAUGAUAUAAAUUUGGUGCUAUAAAUUAGCAAUUGAGUUUGUUUGGUUUACUAUAUAUUUGUACGGAUUGCAAUGAUCCAAAUACAAUCAAUUCAUUUUAGUUCAAUAACAAAACUAAAAUAACACUUGUAAGGUGAUGCAUAUUCUUGCAAUAAAUAAAGCCACCAAAGGCAGAUGCGUAUGUCUAUAUAUACAUGAACUGCUGAUUCGAUUUGAACACCCCAUUUCUCCGAUUGCUGCAAUUUCAUAGCUAGCUCUUUGUUAUACACAGGUAUACACGGCUAACUCUUCUUUGCUUCUUUCUUGUUUUAAUUUCAUGUCUUUACCAAUAACAUUAAUGUGAAAGCUUUGUUUGUUUCAUGUUUAACUUCAGUUGCUAUUGUCUUAUGCUAUCUCAUUAUUAAGCUUAAAUUGCUGUAUUAUCUUCGAUGAUCACUUCACCUGUAUCAGCAAUUGCUAAAUAUUGAUUGUUCCUUAAAUUCUGCAGCUGAAAUGACAGAGCCAGAGUCUUCUCGCUCUAGACCAGAAGGGGCCUAUGAUGUCUUCUUGAGUUUUAGAGGAGCGGAUACUCGCAAGACGUUUACUGAAUAUCUAUAUGCUACCUUAAAUCAAGCAGGAAUCCACACUUUUCGAGAUGAUGAUGAACUUCCUAGAGGAGAAGAAAUCUCCAAUCAUCUCCUCAGGGCUAUUCAAGAAUCAAAGAUAUCCAUAGUUGUCUUCUCAAAAGGAUAUGCUUCUUCUAGAUGGUGUCUCGAUGAACUUGUAGAGAUUCUGAAGUGUGAAAAGAAGAAAACCGGUCAGAUUGUUAUUCCUAUAUUCUAUGACAUUGGUCCUUCAGAUGUGAGAAAACAGACUGGCAGUUUUGCAGAGGCAUUUGAUAAGCAUGAAGAGCGUUUUGAAGAGAAGUUGGUGAAGGAGUGGAGAAAAGCUCUCAAGGAGGCUGCAAAUCUAUCUGGAUGGAAUCUCAAUGAUAUGGCAAAUGGGUAUGCCUUUUUUUCUCUAAGAUUCACUUGCACACAUUUAUGGAGUCAUUAUACUCUACAUUUUUCAAUGUGAAACAAUAAAAUACUCAAUUGACUCGCUAUCAAUGACUUGCUUUUGUCUAUGAGCAGGUCUGAAGCAAAAUUUAUCGAAAAGAUUAUCAAGGAUGUGUUGAAUAAAUUAAAACACAAGUACUUGAAUGUUCCUGAGCACCUGGUAGGUAUGGAUCGGCUUGCUCGCAAUAUUUUUGACUUUCUAAGUACUGCAACAGAUGAUGUAUGCAUUGUGGGCAUACAUGGGAUGCCAGGAAUAGGAAAGACAGCUAUAGCAAAAGUUGUAUUUAAUCAACUCUGCAAUGGAUUCGAGGGAAUCUGCUUUCUUUCGGAUAUCAAUGAAACAUCAAAACAAUUCAAUGGUCUGGCUCUUUUACAAAAGCAACUUCUUCAUGAUAUUUUACAACAAGAUGUUGCUAACAUCAAUUGUGUCGAUAGAGGAAAGGUUCUGAUCAAAGAACGACUUCGUCCCAAAAGAGUUCUUGUUGUUGCUGAUGAUGUGGCUCAUCUGGACCAGCUGAAUGCAUUGAUGGGAGAUCGAAGUUGGUUUGGUCCCGGAAGUAGAGUGAUAAUUACAACAAGAGAUUCAAGUGUUCUACUUAAAGCAGAUCAAACAUAUCAAAUCGAAGAAUUGAAACCAGAUGAGGCCCUUCAGCUUUUCAGCUGGCAUGCCUUUAAGGACACCAAGCCAGCAAAAGAGUAUAUUGAGCUUUCGAAGAAAGCCGUUGAUUACUGUGGAGGACUUCCUUUAGCUCUUACGGUUAUAGGAGCUUGUCUGUCCGGGAAAAACAGAGGUAGAUGGGAAAGUGAAAUUGACUACUUGAGCAUAAAUCCAAACCAAGAUAUUCAAGGAAAGCUUCUAAUAAGUUAUCACGCACUUGAUGUUGAACUACAAAGAGCAUUCCUUGAUAUCGCUUGCUUCUCUAUUGAUAGAAAGAAAGAGUACAUCGCAAAAGUGCUAGGAGCCCGUUUCCGUUGCAAUCCAGAAGUUGUUUUGGAAACUCUCCGUGAAAGGUCUCUAAUUAAAGUAUUGGGAGAGACGGUAACCAUGCAUGAUCUAUUACGAGACAUGGGAAGGGAGGUCGUCCGUGAAUCGUCUCCCUUGCUUCUUGGAAAGAGGACCAGAAUUUGGAAUCAAGAGGAUGCAUGGAAUGUACUUGAGCAGCACUAGGUAAGAGCUCAAUGCAUAACGAAAGCACAGUCAUGCGUGUUUUCUAGUCAAACUUAUUACAAAUAAUUGUAUGAAAGUUGUAUUGAUUUUUUUCUUAGGAUAGGUAUGCGUCUUGCACUGGAUGUCAGAUCAUUAGAAGCUAAAUCAAAUGAAAUGCUUAAAUUUACUCCAAAUUAAUGGACUACAUCUCAUCGGAUCCUUCAAGCUGCUUUCUAAAGAGUUGAUGUGGAUUUGUUAACUUCAAUGUCCUUUGAAAUAUUUUCCAUCUGAUUUUACAGUUGAAAAUCAGAUUAAGCUUGCUCUUUAAAAACACAUAAAAAUAGUCAUGGAACACUUGACUGAUCAAACAAAAAAAAAAUUAUUUAUUUUCUUUUAUUGAGCUCCAUAGUUUAAACUCUCUCUUUUCACAUAAUUUUUAGUUUGGUGUAAAUAUUCUAAUGUUUUUUAUAAUCUUUAUAUUUAUAUUUUUCAAUAUAAGUACACAUAGCAUCAUUGAAUCUUUUGAUUGAAAGUAAAAGGUUUUAUCUCGUAAAAUCAUCUCUAGAAGGUUUUAUUUGGUCAGUCUUCGAAAACUUAGGGAUUAAAAAAAAAAAACUUCUUGAUUUAAUUUGGAAACCUCAAGGAGAAAAUUGAAACAAGUAUAACCUCACGGGGGAGAAGUUGAAUUCUCCCCAAACUCAGGGGUUAAUUAAAAUUAACCUUUAAAUUUCUAUCCAUGCCCAGGUGCCCACGAAAGAGAAGAGGUACAUCCACGUGAAGCUCAUUUUGGGUUUGGGUUAGUUGAAAAUAUCUAGUGGGUGGGGCUUUUUUUUCUGUUUUUCUGUUUUUUUUUUUUUUUUUUUAUGCACAGAAUACAUGAAAUAAUAAAUUUAAAUCCAACAAAUCCAAUAGAGAUAUAAUACUGUAUACGAUCAACAUGAAAGAAUUUUACGAAAAGACAUGCAAAUAUCAUAUAUUAUGAGUCUCUGCCAGUCAUAAUUCUAUUGUUGUGUAUCAUCAAUUAUCUUUCUUGUAUAGGAAAUAUCAGGUUGGAUUUUGCUGAUGACAAACUUAAUCUUAGAGAUUGCAUCUGCGGUUUUUGACCAGAUGGGUUACGCAUUAAUUGGCAUGGUGUUGGCAUUUGUAGCUUUGCUUCUUGCUGCCGUUGAACUCAUUCACAUGGCUCGAAAGGAAAGAACUAAACGGGAGGGCCUAUUGCCACCUUUUCAUCUCCAUGCAACUGGAAAGCCUGUUGGCACUAUUGUUGAGUAUUUUGGAUUGGCUGGUGCUGUCUGGCAAUGUGUUUAUUCGACUGUGGAGUAUAUGUAUACUCGUCAGAAGAAAGAUAAUCCAAUUAAGAUGUGUCUUCUACCUUUCAUUUUCUUAUUAUGCGUGGUGAUUUCCAAAUUAUUAGUCAACAAGAGUUCCGUUGUAAAUAGUUCUUAGCAAUGGUAUUUUCUUUGAACUAGAAGAAAUUGCUAGUAUUGUGUUCCAAGGACUCUUUUUAGUGGGAAUGAGUCAAAGAUUUUGAUUCCUAGAUUUUCUUAUCGAAGACCCAGACUUGUAAUGCAAUUAAGACACUAUUUUUGAGACAGUGAGCUUGAGUUGAUGUUGACAAUCUAGCUAUUAUUGAUAUGCGGUUAAGUAAUCUCAAAUAACUAUGGAAGGAAAAAACUGUCAUUGACUGAUUUAAUUGGAAAUUAUUUGCGAGAAAGCUAAAAAGAAUUAGAGUUUUUUAAUUUAUAAAAUUAUAAUUCUAAAUUCUAAAAAAAAAUUCAAUUAUUUUUAAAAUUAUUUUAAAAAAUAAAACAUCAACUAUUUAUAUAAUAGAUAAAUAAAUCUAUUAAAAUAAAUUGAGAAUAACUAGUAAAAUCAAGCAAAUAAUCCAAAAAUAACAAGAAAAUAAAUAUAUUUUCUAGAUCUUAUUUGAGUAUUUUUUUUUUUCUUGAUUGACUGCCUUGUCAAAGUCUUUAUUCAGCAUAAACAAACUUUAUUCUAAAAGUCUGUUUGAUAUUUCUUCACUUAUCUAUGACAUUACUUCUACUGUACAGAAUAGAAAUAAAAAUUAGAUGAUAUUGGAAUGACAAAAACUCAUUUGCACAAAUUAUCCAUUAUGUAAUUUAUAUUUUCAAAUUACAAUUUUUGACGAGCCUUGUGUUUAGUUAAGGUGUAUCAAUCUGUUGGCUAUUUGAGGAGCCUCGGUUACUUGAAUCUGAAGGGAUGUUAGAGGCUAAAAAUCCUUCCGCGGAGCAUUUGUGAUAUGAAGUCUCUUGAAACUUUGAAUAUUUCAGGGUGUUCAGGACUUGAGAAAUUACCAGAUUGCAUGGGUGAUAUGGAAUCCUUAACUAAGGUGCUAGUGGAUGGAAUUGAAAAUGAGCAAGUUCUCUUUUCAAUUGUAUAAUUAAAGCAUGUCAGAAAAAUAUCAUUGCGUGGAAACAGUUUCUAUCAGAACUCAUCGUCAUCUACAUUUUGGCAUCCACCAAUUUCUUCUUGAUUUCAGCAAGUGUUUUAUAUUGAAAACGUUUCUUGAACUUCCUGAUGAUGAUUUUUCUAAUCACGCAACUAACUGUGUUGAUUUUAGGGGUUUGUCCUCUCUAGAACAAUUGGAUCUAUCACAAAAUAAAUUCUCUAGCGUGCCUUCUGGGAUCGACUUCCUUCCCAAGCUAGGGACCUUGAGUGUUGUUGGAUGCGACAAUCUUGCAUCAAUCUCAAAUCCUCCCUCAAAUUUAUACUGUUUGAAUGCACUUUAUUGCAAAUCAUUGAAAAGAGUAAGAAUACAGUCAAAAGAAGAAAUACUUAUAGAUCUAAAUGAUUGUCCUUUAUUAGAAGAGAUUCAGGACAUCGAAGGUCGCAGUAAUAUUUUCUAGUGUAUUUAUGUUGAUUUCCCUAGGGAUUCAUCAAAUAAUUUCUAGAAGAGCCUUAUUGAGGUACUAUUUAUGUCUCUCUUGCGCAAAAAUAAACACACACAUUGAUUAAUUUUUAAAAUCUCAGCAUUACUUGAAAUCAAUAUAUAUUUAUACAGGCAUUGGGCGCCAGUUGUUACCGGUAUUUUAUUUACAACAUUCCUGGUGAGAUGCCAAAUUGGUUGAGUUAUAUCAUCUUUUCUUAUAUUUCCCUUGUGAUUUAGAGCCCGUUUGGAAACAUGGGCCAACCCGCGUUUCCAAAAAUUUUUAAAAAAAUAUUAUAAAAAUUAAAUUUAUUUUUUUUUAUUUUGAAUUGUUUUGAUGUACUGAUCUUAAAAAUAAUUUUACAAAAAAAAAAAACCCACCAUUUUUGCAUUUCGGCAAGAAAAUAAUCACAACCAUACUCCCAAAAGGCUCUUAAUAAUAGCGUCAACACAUGAGCAAUGAAGUAACUAUUUAUUUCCGAAGCUACAAAAACAUAAUCUCGAUUUAAUGUUUUUUUUUGUAAGAAUAAAUAUUUCAUUUAGUUAUUAUUAUUUUAUUUCUUUUAAUUUAAAACAUUAAAAAUUAUCUUUAAUUAUUUUAUUUUUCUUAUUUAAUUUUAAAAAUUAAAUAUCAUCUUUAAUAAUAUUUUUUUAUUAAAUAUUUAGAGUAUGUUAGAUUUUAUUAUUUAUUUAUUUUAUUUUAUGAUAAUAUUUUUAUUAUUAAAUUUAAAAAAUUAAAUGUUAUCUUUAAUAAUUAGAUCUAUCCAAUCUCACUUAAUUAAACCAUUAUUUUAUUGCUAGAAACUUAUGAGUCUUUUAAGCCAAAAGAAUUGUAGGAAGAGCUAAAAUUAGCAAGGAAUAUUUAGAGUCUAUUUGAUUUUAUUGUUUAUUCUUUGAUUUCAUGGUAAAAUUUUUAAAUUUUGAAAAACAAAAAUUGAAGACUUAUAUGUUUUGAACUUUUUUGUUAUAUAUAUAUAAAAAAAAAAACCAACAGUCACUAACAUAAUUUCGUAAAAUCACUUUAGUUUAUUUGAAAAAUAUAUUGAAAACUGAUUUUUUGUUUUUUUACAUUAAAAACAAAAAUUGAACAAUCUUUUUAUAUUUUACUUCAAAUAUGGUAUUUUAAAACAAAAAUGAAAACGACGUGAAAUUAACCAUUUUAAUUAUAAAGUAAGUUUCUUAAUUAAAAGUGAAAGUGAGUUAAUUUGUAAUAACAUGAAUUUUGUUGGUUUUUCAUGGAACGCAAUAGGUCAGCACUGGAUGCAAGACCCUUAAAAGAUAGAUCAUUGAUCAUUUACAGAGAGAUGCUUGAAGUUAAUUACUCUAGAUAAGUAUUGGGCUUUUCAGAUUUCUUUCUGACAACUUAUUCAUGAUGGAAUUUAUACUUUUUCUCAAGACAAAUUGAUAAAAACUACAAAUACAUAAACAAAAAAAAAAAGUAUUUAAUCGUUAUGUUUUAUAUUCAUCUAUGAUUUAAUUUUUUUCCAUCAAUUUCAUUUUCUUAUUUAUUUUAAUCCUAAAAUAACAAUAAAAAAAAAAUAAAAAAUCAUAUCAAGAAGUUCAAUUCAAAAUAAACAAGAUGCUUAAAAAAUCUUUUAGUAUCGCAUCUUUUUUUUGUAAAAAAAUAUAAAACAACAACGUAUUUAAUCAACUCGAGUUUUGUGGCCUAACCAUACCGUGACAAUCAUGUAAAAAUCAAAUUUUAAAAAAUCAAUCCAUAGAAAAAAAAUGCAUUGGAAAAACAAAUUUAAAAUAAAUUAAAUAAUUAAAAAAAGUUCAGUAAAAUAUAUUUUAUAAAAAAAAUAUUCAGACAAUAAUAACAAUUAUCAAGCUAAUAUUCAUACCAUUCCAAAUGAAGCCUUACAUGGUGAAACGAAGCUCAUUGGGCUAUAAAAAGUGCAAAUAACUUCUGAAAAGAUUAAAACGAUUCAAACUAAGCUCAGGAAGUACAAAGUAGACAGAAGAGUUAUGUUGACCUUAUACGACUGGAAUUGAAAUUUGUUGAUGGUGAUUAUGUAUUUUUGAGAAUUCCUCCUACCAUAUAUUGGGCCUUUUAAAAUUUUGAAGAGAAUUGGUGCUGUUGCUUAUGUAUUAGCUUUUCCACCCAGCUUUUUCAUCUAUACAUCCAGUGUUCCAUGUAUCUCCGUGCUCUAUCACAUAUAUUGGAGCCAUAAACAGUAGCAUUUCAAGAAGAUAUGUCAUGUGAGAAUCAACUGGAGAACCUGAGAAGAUGAUACGUAAUAAAUAUUGUUAUUUCUUCGUUCAAUCAAGCCCAUUUGUUAGUUAUAUAACCCAUUAUUGUUUUAUAUGUUGGCCCGUUAAUUAGGUAGCCCAUUUGUUAUUACAGAAAGAUAGAGGUAAGGACAUUGUUAGUCAUUUUCUUCCUUAAUUCUCUCUUUGUUGUAAUGAGUAAAUACCUUAAGAAAUUUGAAUAUUUGAAAGAUAAUGAGUAAAUUUCAAAGAAUCAUAUUGAAAUUAUGGAAAAUAUGUUUUGGUGUUGAUGAUGGAAGAAUUACAGUUUGGUCCUUGCCUUUGAGAAAUUAAGAUUUUGUCCCUAAAUUCUAAAACAAUUAUAGUUUAGACUCUGGUUGUAAAUAGCAAUUUUUAGAUAUCUUUUUGAUAAAUAUUUGAGAAAUAUUGAUUAUCUAUUAUCAAUUUUUAUUGUUAUCAUUUAAAUUUAGAAUUAAUUCUAUUAUGUAUUUAAAUGCGUUUAGCUAUUUUUUCUCCUUUAAUGUAGCUAUUUUUUCUCCUUUAAUGGGCUAGGAUUUGAAACAAAUGUGGCUAUGUUUUCUCCGUUUAAUAUAAAAAAAUAAUAUUCAUGGAUUAAUUUUCGUAUAAUUCAAGAAAGCAAGUCCUUAAAUCAAAUUUUAGAGUGACCAUCCUCAAUGUGUUAAAAGUAAAUGUUAAAGGAGAGAGAGAAAUAAAAAUAAAAAUAAAAAGCAAAAGCAAAAGGAAACAACGCCCAUCUUUCUUGGUCCUCUCUCUCUUUCCUUGCUUUUUUUAACGUGUGGACCUAGCAGUUGUUGCCACCAAAUUCCAGCUCAAUAUUUACCAGCUCUACACGCUUGAGAAAUUUCCAUGCUUUUCUUCCUCUACGUACUGUUACCUUUUACCUUUUAUAAUUAUGAUUAUUGCAUUGCUAAUAAUCUCCAAGAAAGAUGAUGAAUAUUUUUUAGUGAAUUCAAAAUAACAACAAAUAAGGUUUGUUGAGUCUUUUCUUGGAACCUUGUUAUGGGAUUAAAUAGGGAGAAUAAUAAAAUUAUGUGCGAAUUAUACAAAAUUUAUUAUUAAUCAUAAAUUUUUAUUCUUGAUCAUCAAUAUUGAAUAAUGGCUUAUUUUCUAGUAUAAACUGUGUUUGAAAUAUCAAGUUGAUGUUCUUAAGUGUUUUUUUGAUGAUUUUAAUAUACUGAUAUUAAAAAUAAAAAUAAAAAUAAAAAAACUAAUUUUGUUUUCAAAAAGAAAUUGACAAUCAAUUCCUUGCUUUACUCUCCAGCUAGCCUGAUACAUAUGAGUCUCAAGACAUAUGGCCAUUGAUAAAAAGGUGUGUUGAAGCAAAAUCUUUUUUUAAUUAUCUGUAGCGACCUCAAUAAUUUUGUCAAUAUGCACCUACCUUGAAAUUACCAAUACGUAAAUUCCAGCUCAAUAAUUGCCAAUACGAGCUUGAGAAAUUUCCUUGCUUUUUUUUUCCCCUGUACAUGUUUCCUUUUUAUCUUUUAUAAUUAUAAUUAUUGCAUUGCUAAUAAAUUACCAAUACGUGUGGACCCAGUUGUUGCGACCACCACGAAAUUACCACUCCAAAUUCCUUCUUCUUUCUCUGUAUUUUAUUAGAAAAACUGUCAUUGACUGAUUUAAUUGGGAAUUAUUUGCGAGAAAGCUUAAAGAAUUAGAGUCUUUUAAUUUAUAAAAUUAUAAUUUUAAAUUGUAAAAAAAAUUCAAUUAUUUUAAAAAAUAAAAUAUCAACUAUUUAUAUAAUAGCUAAAUAAAUCUAUUAAAAUAAAUUGAGAACAACUAGUAUAAUCAAGCAAAUAAUCCAAAAAUAAUAAGAAAAUAAAUAUAUUUCCUAGGUUUGAUUUGAGUAUAUUUUUUAUAUUAAUUGACUGACUUGCUAAGUCUUCGCUGAGCAUAAAUGAACUUUACUCUAAGAGUAAGAGUAUGUUUGAUAUUUCUUUACUUAUUAAUGAAAUGUUACUUUUAAUUUAUAGCGGAUUGAUUUAUUGAGCCAAUCUGAAUUUAAUAACUAUAGUCUAUAGUCAUACUGCUAAUACUUGCACCGAAGCUAAUAAUAUUUUUUUUCUAAAAUAAAGAUGAAUAUUUUUUGUUGGCAUUAAUAAUUUAAAAUGAGAAUUAAAGAGCAAAGGGUUUAAGCAAUAUUAAAAGAGAAGGUUUUGUGUAAGUAUUAGAUAAUUGAAAUCAUCACUAGUUCAUUUUCUUUUUUUAUUACCCCUUCCGCUUGGCAUGCCUGAAAAGGAGCCAAAAAAAUAACCAUAGGUUUUUCCGGUUUUGGACCUCAUAGGUUUGGACCGGUUCCGGUUUAGUUUGGAUCCCUUUUUUAAAAACAGUUUGGUUGUUUUCUAAAGGUAAAAACCAAACCGAACAAAAAAUGAUCACCUCUAGCAGCAACAACACAUUAACAUACCAGCAUUAUGGCAGAAGGAGGGACGACCUUAGAGCAAGUGCAGAGGUAUGUUAAAGGCUUGGGUAAGCUAUAGCCCAAGUCAAGACUUUAUCAAUAUUUUAUAGCUAGUUUUAUGUAAAAAAAAUUAUAAUUCUUGAUUGAGUUAUCAAAAAAAAAAAUUAAAAUUUACGUGGAGCCUUCUAAUAUAAUAUUUUAACUUGGGUUAAAAUUUCAUAAUAAUUUAAGAAAUUCAAAAAUUUGAUGAAAAAUCACAAUUUGACCAGUUUUAUGUUAUUGGACAUAAUUUUCAAUUCGACAAUUAGAUUGAACUGAAAUUUUACGAGAGAUCUUAAAAUAUAUUGAAUAAAAUAUGGUUAAAAUUUUAUGAUGAACGAAGCUUGGAAGUGCUAACAAAAAAAAACUGUCAAAUAAAAACAAAUCGACUCAUUAAGGGUAAAAUGAUUACUAUUAAAAAAUAAAACAAAUAAGCUCUUCCUUCAUUUUAUAUGUUGCCGACUAGACAGAAGCAGAAUAAGAAAAGAAAGAAAAGAAAAGGCAAGAGAGAAAGAAAUGAAAGUAGGGGUCAUCAUUUUCGGUUCGGUUUGGUUUUUAACAAAACAAGUAACCAAACUGAAUUUUUUUUUGAAAAAAAAACCAAAACCGGUUCGAACCGGCCGGUUUGGUUUUUUAAGGAAAAAAACUGGUUCAAACCAGUUUGACUCGGUUUUUUUUCGGUUUGGCUCGAUUUUUUCGGUUUUGACUCGAUUUUGCUUGGUUUUUUCGGUUUUGGCUCGGUUUUUUCCCGGUUUGACUCGGGUUUUUUCAGUUCGGUUCGGUUUCAGACGUAUAAAACCGAUAUCAAACCGGUCGGUUUUUUCAAAAUUUUAAUCGGUUUUUUUUCACGGUUCGGUUUUUUCAGUUUUUUUGCUCACCCCUAGAUAAAAGUAAGGGAAAAACAUUAAAAAAAAAAUAAGAAAAGUAAAAGAAUAACAUUGUAAACUUACAAAGUCCAACUUAUAAAACACUAAUUUAAGGAAGAAUUAAGUGAAGGAAGGAGGAAUUGAGAGAGAGAAAAAAUUUAAUUACUUUGUUUCCAGUUGACAUGAGAUUGUUAUUUUAUCUCGAUUGAGGAGUUGUUACAAUAUCGAUUAAGAUUCGAUUAUAGAUAAAUUAUAUUUCACAAAAUAUUGAAAGAUGUAACUUCAAUAAUAAAUUUAUUUUUACUUUCACUUCAAUUUUAUGUAUUUUUAAAUUUAUUUUUUAAUAUUUUGGGUAGUAUAUUUGAAUUAAAACUUUAUUAUUAGUUUCAAAUAUAUAUAUAUAUAUAUAUGAAUUAAUAAUUAAUCUUAAAUAAAAUUAUAUAUUUAUUUAAUAGCUCAAGAAAAAUUCAUUACUCCGUCCUUACAUUAGAGUACACUCCCACAUGCGUUGUGGCGGCGGUUUGCUCUGUUAUUGCGCUCAUUUCUCUUAUUGUUGAAAGAUCCCUUCGCCUCCUUGGAAAAAGAUAAUAUAACUGCAUUGACCGGAGAUUUCACUUAGAAUUUCUAGUAAAUUACAAAGGAAAUUUCCUAUGUUUUUUCAUGUACAUGUAUUGAAAAACUAUCACUGAUUGACUGACUUGCAUUGACUGAAUUUCUAAGUAUUUGCUGCUCGAAAUGAGCAAUCCUGUUUUUUCAAUGCUGCCAUUUAGCAAGUCCACAUGUCAUGAGUCUACACGGCAUCAAAUUUGCAAAAUCAUAUAGCCCAUUGAUAGAAAUCAUAUAGCCCAGUUGUUGCAAUACACCCUUGAGAAAUUCCAGCUCGAUCUUUACCAAUACACGCUUGAGAAAUUUCCUCUACGUACGUGUUACCUUUUACCUCUUUUAUAAUUAUUAUGAUUAUUGCAUUCCUAAUAAUUUGCAAGAAAGAUGAUGAACACUUUUUAGUCAAUUCAAAAUAACAAAAUAAGGUUUGUUGAGGCUUUUCUCGAUCAGGGAUUAAUUAACGAGAAUAAGAAAAUCCCCUUCAAAUUAUACAAAAUUUAUUAUUAGUCAUCUAUAUUUAUUAUUAAUCAUCUAUAUUGAAUAAUGGCUUAUUUUAUAGUAUAAACAAUGUUUGAAAUAAAAUUAGUAAAAGAUAUUAUACAUAAUUAAUGAUGGGAUCGUUUAUAAAAAUGACUAAAUUAAAGUUUUUCAAUUAUAUUUAAACAUAUUAUAAUUUUAAUAAAUGGGCUGUACAUCAUGUAAAUUAUAAAAGAAUAUUUAAAUUAUAUAUAUAUAUAUAUAUAUAUAUAUAUAUAUAACAAAUUAGAUGAUACUAACAAGAAAAUAUAUAGGAAUUAGUUUGAAUAAAGGAUACUAGUUAUAUAUCUAGAGAAGAAGUUCGAAGAAUAGAAUGAAGUCAAAUAUUCUUAAUAAAAAAGAAAAAAACACAUAAAGAAAUAAAAUAUGUUUUUAAUUAAUAAAUAUAAAAGAUGGAUGAAAGUAUUAGAGAAGAAGAAAGAGAUAUAGAAUCUGUUUGUGAAAUUUCUAAGAACUUAAUUACAAUUAUAUUAUAAUUUCUUCCCUAAAAUUAUUCAAAAUAUAGUAUUAGAAUUACAUAAUGCUAGGUUUUAAUAUAUAAUUAAAAAGUUUCCCAUGAACCAAAUAAUAAAAAUAUUGUAUAACUCUUUUGAAUGAAUUAUUAAAUUAGUCCAUUUAUAGGUUGACUCAGUAUUCCUGCCUUGAUUGCCAGGAAAUUUCACUAGAAAUUUCAAGUAAUUUACACAGGAAAUUUCCUGGUGAUAAACCUGGGAUAUGAUUUUCAACUUUCUUGGCAGCUGCAUCAAGGAAAAAACGUUUCAGAUGCGAAAAAUAAAGAUAAAAGUGGAAAAUAGAAGCGGAAAAAAAAUCCCAAAUAUCGACAAACAUCCCAAAUACAGAUAUCCUUAAAUUUAACCCAUUCUAUUUUACAUAAAUAAAUGAUAAGAUUAGGUGAAGAAUUAUUUGAUGUUUCCAUGCAACUUUGAAAGAAUAAUAAGGAAUAACACUUUUGAGAGAUUAAGAUUAAUUUUCAAUUCAGACAUAAUCAAUUGAGAGAUUAAUACAAACUAAAAGAUAAUAAAUAAAUAAAUAAAUAAAUAUCAGUCAAUUUGAUACAAAUACAAAAUGAUGCAAGUGGAUGCUAUCAGUGUAUUCUUGUAGCUUUCAAUUGUUUUCCCCCCUAAAUUAAGGUGUCGAAAAAUAGACCAAUGAAGCGAUCUUUACUAUCAGUGUGUCUCCCACGGCAAAAACAUUAAUGCAAUCAGUUAGUGCCUGCUGGAAAAUUACUCCAAGAAACUUCAUGGAACCACCAAAAUAAGGAAGAAAACAAAAACGUUAAUAAUGGUGAAAAUAACUUGACAUUAUCUGUCGAGAUGAUUUAAGUUUUUUUUUUUAAAUAAUUAUUUUACAAAUAUUAUAAAUUAAUGUGUUAUGGCGUCACACGUCAAUUUAAGAGAUUGUUUUUUUUAAACGUACUAACAAUCCAACACAAAGCCAUCUAAAAUAUUUACAAAUAGUUAUAGCAUUUAACUAUUUAUGUAGGGUAUUUUUAAGAAAUAUUUUUUAUUUAAAAAUAUUUUAAAAUAAUUCAUUUCCGCUUGCAUGUCAUGCUCCUCCAUUGUUUUUGCAGCCUGUCCCGUUCCAGUAUCUGCACACCACGCACUGCCGAUGUUUCCGGUGUUUUUUCCGCGUUCCUCCGUGAAUAAAAAAAUGUUAUUUUUUCUCGUUUAAUUAUUUAAAUAUUUAUUUUGAAGUGUUUUUUUUUUGGAUUGCACGAUGUAAUUUAUGUAUUUGCACAAUAGUUGUGUGAUUUACAUAAAUUUUAUUUAUAUUGAAUGAUAUUUUUCCAUCCUACAUUAACCAUAAUUCUAUAGGUAGAAUCACCUUCGAAGUGACUAAAUCUGCUUUAAUAUAUUUGAGAUUCACUCAAUGCCACUCUCAUCGGUAUUCUAAAAGCGAAGAGAAGAGUAGAAGCAAUGUGAUAGCUAUACAGGUGAGACUUAAUAAUUUACAGGUGAUAAUUAUUUUUUAAAAUAUUUUUUUUAUUUGAAAAUAUAUUAAUUUAAUGUAAAAUAAUAAAUAAAAUUAAUUAUUUUUAAUUAUUUUUUAAAAUGUAAAAACAAAGAGGAUAUAAUCAACCGUAUGUUACCUUGUAAACCGUAUGUUAGAGUCCCUCAAAUAUUCUGGCUACAGCAACCACUAUAUUGUAUGCCAAGCAGUAUUUUGUCCUUGAACCCUUGGCCCUCUAAAUUACCCAAAAAGGACAAUAAUUGAGCACAAGCGGUACAGGUCAGGCUUAAACUCAGCUUGCUAGAGCCAGUUCUCAAUUUUAGGCACCAGUUCUCAAUCGAAUUUUAGCAAAAUCAAGGAUCCAAGAAUUGGCCUCUGUAACAUGGUUUGUAUUCUGAGCCAAUCUGGGCUAGGAUUUGAAACAAAUGUAGCUCUUUUUUUCUCCUUUUAUUGUAAAAAAAUAAUAUUCAUGGAUUAAUUUUCGUGUAAUUUAAGAAAGUAAGUCCUUUAAUCAAAUUUUAGAGUGAUCAUCCUCAAUGUGUUAAAAGUAAAUGUUAAUUACCACUAAGAAGGAACGCAAAAAGACAUUCCUUUUCUUGUCAUAAAGUUUUGAAGAGCUAUCAAAACGUACUAUCGUGUAUUAUUGUCAUAAAAAUUUUCCAACUUUCAAUAUAGAGAGAGAAAUAAAAAUAAAAAGCAAAAGGGAACAACCAUUUUGAUAUUCAAUCAGUAUGAGUGAGAAAGAAAGGAAGCAUCUUUCUUGUGUGCUUUCCCUUCUUUACAUGGCUUACCCGAUGAAAAAAGCAAACACCCCAUUUUGAUUUUCAAUCAGUAUGAUUGAGAAAGAACGACAGGGCAAGGUUUGUUGAGGCUUUUCUUGGAACCUGGCUCCUUGCUUUUUUUAACGCGCGGACCAGUUGUUGCCACCAAAUUCUUUCCUCAAUAUUUACCAGCACUACACUCUUGAGAAAUUUCCAUAGAGCCUUAUAAUAUAAUAUUUUAACUUGGGUUAAAAUUUCAGAGAAAUUCAUAAAUUUGAUGAAAAUUAUAAUUUGACCAGCUUUAUAUUAUUGGGCAUAAUUUUUAAUCCGGCCAUCAGAUUGAGCUCAAAUUUUACGAGAGAUCUUAAAAUAUAUUGAAUAAAGUAUGGUUAAAAUUUUAUGAUGAACAGAGCUUGGUAGUACUAAAAAAAAAAAAAACCGUCAAAUAAAAGCAAAUCGACUUAUUAAGGAUAAAAUGGUUUUUUGCCAUUAAAAAAUAAAACAAAUAAGCUCUUUCUUCAUUUUAUAUGUUGCCGACUGGGUAGAAGCAGAAUAGGAAAAGAAAGAAAAGAAAAAGUGAGAGAGAAAAAGAUAAAAGUAAGGGAAAAACAUUAAAAAAAAUCCAAAUAAAAAAAAUAAGAAAAGUGAAGGAAUAACCUUGUAAACUUACAAUGACCAACUUAUAAAAUACUAAUUUAAAGAAGAAUCAAUUGAAGGAAAGAGGAAUUGAGAGAGGGAAAAAAUUUUAUUACUUUGUUUUCCAGUUGACAUGAGAUUGUUAUUUUAUCCCGGUUGAGGGGUUGUUACAAUAUCAAUUCAGAUUCGAUUAUAGAUAAAUUAUAUUCCACAAAACAUUGAAUGAUGUAACUUCAAUAGUGAGUUUAUUUUUACUUUCACUUCAAUUUUAUGUAUUUUUAAAUUUAUUUUUUAAUAUUUUGGAUAAUAUAUUUGAAUUAAAAUUUUAUUGUUAGUUUCAAAAGUUUAUGUACAUAAAUUAAUAAUUAAUUUUUUUAAAAAAUUAUAUAUUUAUUUAAUAACAACAGGAAAAAUUGUCUCGCAUAAAUUCCCACAUGCGUUGUGGCAGCGGUUUGCUCUGUUAUUGUUCUCAUUUCUCUUAUUGUUGAAAAAUCCCUUCACCUCCUUGGAAAUGGCAUUCCAAGUGUGCAGUAUUUAUUGUCAUAAAGUUUUUCAAACAUCCAAUAUAGAGAGAGAAAUGAAAAUAAAAAGAGCAAAAGGAAACAACCCCCACCCCAUCUUUCUUGUUCCCUUUCCCUUCUUUACAUGGCUUACUCAAUGAAAAAGCAAGCACUAAUGCACCUUCUCCACAAACUACCCCCAAUUUCGCCGCUAUAUAAAUAUAUUAUGGAAAACAAGAUAAAAAGAAAUCUUUUGGUACAUCUAUAUAUAUAUAUAUAUAUAUAUAUAUAUAUAUAUAUAUAUAUAUACAUGGUAUCAGAAUAUCUGUGAAGUAUUGCUGGGAAGUCAUAAUUUUUGACACGCCUAAUCACAGUCUUUUUUUGGAAAUUUCCAUCAUUUGAUCUUGACAGCAUCAGAUUAGACAAUUGCAUGGAAAUGGUCUUCUUAGUUUGCCGUGUGGAAAAUCAUGUCAUUUACGGGGCUGCUGGAGAGAUUUUCUAUUGACCGGUAAUUUCGCUCGAAAAUUUCUAGUAAUUUAUAAAGGAAAUUUCUACUGUAUAUGAAUUGAAAAACUAUUAUUGACUGACUUCUUAAAAAGUAUUCGCAAGAAAGCUAAAGAAUUAAAGUUUUUUAAUUUUUAAAAUUAUAAUUUAAAAUUGUAAGAAAAAAAUCAAUUGUUUUAAAAUUGUUUUCAAAAAUAAAACAUCAACUAUUUAUAUAAUAGCUAAAUCUAUUAAGAUAAAUCCAAAAUAACUAGUAAAAUCAAUGACUUGCAUUAUCAAGCUUGACGAAUUUUAAGCUUAAUCUAUUGUAUUAUCUUUGAUGAUCACUUCACAUGUAUCUCUUGCUUGUAUUUGCAAGAGAGAAGAUACCUUAUGCAAUUGCUCCAUUGCUAAUUGAUUGUUCCUUCUGCUCUCUCAUUAUUAAGCUUAAACUGUUGUAUCAUCUUAUGUUCCACAUUAAGGAUAUAUAAUUAAUUAAUCGGACCGACCAUUAUGUUAAGGAUAAGAGAUUGUGGGCGCCUCUUUUUUCUUGUUGACAACUCAUGAUUUAUUUAUAGCAGUUAAGGAUAUAAUUAAUCGGACCCACCAUUAUGUUCCACGUUAAAGAUAUAAUCCAAUGUUUCAUAAUGAUCAUCUUGAAUUUGGUUUUUUCUGCAUUAAUGUAUAACAGGUAAAAUUAAAUGAUUAUUGGAUGAAUUUGCAUAAAUAUUAAGUCCAAUAACAUAAUUAAAUUUUUAAUAAAUCAAUUUGAUUUAAUCAUGGAUCAAAUUAAUUUUUAAUUAUAUUUAAAUUAAUUUUAAUCCAAUUAAAGGAUUUAAUUAAAUGCAAGGAUUUAAUUAUACUUUAAAAGGGUUAAAUUAAUUUUAUUAGAGAUUUAAUUCAUGAAAAAUUAAGUUUGAAAACUCAAUUUAAGUUUAAUUAAAAAGAUUAAUAUUUUAAAAAAUCAAAAUUAAUUUUUAUCAAAUUAAUUAAUUAAAAUCAGGAUGCAAAAAUAUCACAACACAAUUGAAGUUUAGCUUUUAUCAUUUCAAAAGUUCCAGCCUCAUCUUCACUACUUGUAAAAUUGGGGCAGAUUAUGGACUUAACCGAGCAAUUACCGCUCGAAAUUCCUCGUGAAGGAAAUUUCCUUGUUCUUUCUCCGUAUAUUUUUUUCAUAUUAAUUAUAUUUUUCAUAAUUAUUUGCUCUGAAGAUUACCAAAUACAAAAAAAAAAAAAAUUGUUUCUAAAAUAAUAGGAUAUGAAUAAUUAACUAUAGAAACUAAAGAGUGGAUCGGUUAUCUUUAACGUUUGCAAAUAAUUAAAGAGAUAUAAAUUUUGUGAUGAGUUAUGAUUAACGCAGAAGCAAAUAAAAGAGGAACAGAAAUUAUAAGCCAAUAUUGUUUUCGGUUUCAACUUUAAAUCAAACCUAUAAAACCUAACCAUUACAGCUUCUCUCUCCAUCUUCUUCGUCUGCUUUUGUCAUGGCAUCAACUCAUCGAGUACAGGUAGAGAUACUUGAGGUCUAUCAAGUCAUCCUGUCCUUGAACUCACUUGACCCAGCCAUCGAGUUAUUUUUUCCGCUCAUCUUUUUUCCUACAAACUCACCAAGACAGCAGCGGAUUAUUUUAACUCAGUGAUCCUUCCAGGAAGGCCAGGCCGCAUUGAUUGUGUUAAAAAAAAAAAAUCUAAUUCAGCUUAGUAUCAACUGCAUUAUAAUUAUUUAGGAGGAUAGUUGAACCAUAUUUUUAAAAAAAAUUAAUUUCUUUUUUAUAAUUAUACUCCAACAGCAACUACCUCGAAAUUACCACUCCAAAUUCCAGCUCAAUAUCGAUCAACAUGUGGCUAAAAUUGAUAAAAGACACAUAAUGAUGGUAUUGUAUAUUUUGAACUAAAUUGAGGUUUUUUAAUUAUUACUUCAAAAUAUAUCAUGGUUUUAAUAGUUGGACGGUAUAUUAUAUAAAUUAUUAAAAAAUAUUUAUUUUUAUUAUAUAUGUAGUAAUAAUAAAUUAGAUGAUAAUAACAAAAGAAUAGGAAUUAGUUUGAAUAAACAGUACCAGUUCCUAUUAUGAUAUGUAUAGAGAAGAAGUUGGAAGUAUAAAAUGAAGUCAAAUAUUCUUAAUAAAAAAAACACAGAAAUAAUUAAAAUAUGUUUUUAAUAAAUAUAAAAGAUGGAUGAAAAUAUUAGAGAACAUGAAAGAGAUAUAUAAUCUCUUUGUAAGAUUUCUAAGAACUUAAUUACAAUUACAUUAUAAUUUCUUCCUUAAAUUAUUCAAAAUAUAUAUUAUUCUAGGUUUUAAUGUAAUUAAAAAGGAAGUAUUUGCAGGAAAGCUAAAGAAUUAAAUUUUUUAAUUUUUAAAAUUAUAAUUAAAAUUGUAAGAAAAUAAUCAAUUGUUUUUAAAAAUAAAACAUCAACUAUUUAUAUAAUAGCUAAAUCUAUUAAGAUAAAUCGAAAAUAACUAGUAAAAUCAAUGACUUGUAUUGACGAGUGUGUCUAUAUAUACAUAUAGGAAUUGCUGAUUCGAUUUGAAUAUGUUAUUUGAUUAGUCUAAUUCAUGAUUUGCAUUGACUCAAAAUUACCACUAAAAAUUCCUAGUUUCGUGGUGCUUUCUCGGCCUGCAAAUGAAUAUAAAGCAUAUCCUUUUAUCCUAUAUAAAGAAUACAAUUAACCUUUUUAUCUUUUAUAAUUACAAUUAUUGCAUUGCUAAUAAUUUGCAUGAAAGAAUAUUCUUUCUCUGAAAAGGGCUUGAGAAAACCCUAAGCAUAUUAUAUAAUCUCUUAUAGGAAUCUCUUUAUUAAAUCAUCAAAAUAUCAAAGUCUUUUUCCAAAGACUAUGAGUACAGUUUAUAUAUAGAAACAACCAAAUAUAAAAAUUAUUAUUUUUUAAAUAGAAAAACCAGAGAGCUUGAUAAUAUUUAAUAAAAAAAAUAAAAUAGAAAAAUUAUUCCUUUUUAAGUAGAAAAAAAUUAUAAAGAUUUUAAUAAUACUAAAUAAGAAAAAUUAAAAUUUCUAAACUAAAUUAAAAAAAAAAAGUUUUGGCUACAUUUACUUAGUCCCUGUUAUUUGUAAAGCUUAUAACUUAAUUCAAAUCAAUAAAAGUUUAGCAGUUUGAUACAAAAGCUCAUGGCCAAGUUAGAAAUAUUUGUUUUGGAUGUAAUAAAUAUUCAUAUUGGGACAUAAUAUUUAUCUUUCAAAUCCAUAAUUUAAUUGAUCAUAUAAAUAAAUUUUUUUAAAAAAAAAAAGCAAAAAGGAAACAUCUUUCUUGUUCCCUUUCCCUUCUUUACACGGCCUAGUACUCAAUGAAAAAGCAAACACCUCAUUUGAUUUUCAAUCAGUAUGAGAGUGAAAAUGAGAGAGAGGUACAAGUUUGUUUCUAUCUAAGAAAGCAAGAAGCUCCCACUAAUGCAUGUUCUCCACAAACUACCCCCAAUUUCACCAUUACAGCUCAAGUAGCUUUGAGUCAUUGAUUCCAACAAAUAGGAAUUGAAUUCAAAGGAAUAAAUCAUUAAAUGCGGAGUUGGUGCUCUCGUGUUUGUGGUGCUGAUAAAUGUAAGAACAGACAAAGAGAUGAAAUAGGAAAAAUCCAUGUAUCUAUCCUUUAUCCUGCUGUUAAUUUUUUAAAGACGCGUAUCAGGUGUUUGAUAAAAUUCCUCAACUUAAAAAAAAAAAAAAAAAAAAAAAAAACCAUGUUUAGAAUGCUUGAGUCCUUUACGAGUGGAAAGUGGGAACUAUCCACUUUCCCAUUCUCCACUGACCGUGAAAGAGGGAACUCCUGUGAGAGCUUUAUGCCACUUUCUAUCUUAGAUGUAAUGGCUUCGGCAAAAAGAAACAAAUAAAAGUUAGUGUUCGCACUGCUUUAGCCCAAGUGUCACGGGGUUAAAUUUUUCGCCUCGCAAAUAAACUCGUGCGGCAGCCUAGUCCCGCUAGACUCAGCCUUGCCUUACCCUUUCACUCGUGUUUUCCUACGACUAUGUGUUUCGCUCACUCAAGGAGGUUCUCACAAUCGUCUCGUCGUAGACAAUGCACAAACACAAGCAAGCAUAAGCAAUCACACCGAACUUUUACAAGAAUCCCUCUCAACCUUUAUUUAUCUCAUCAACAAAGGAAAUACACAAAAAUGGUGUGUGCUAUGCACAAAUUCGCAUGCUACACAGCAGAGGCUUGGCAGCCUAUUUAUAGCCAAAUGUGAGCUUCCAUUCUCACCUAGCAUCCCCUAAUUUCGGGGCAUAGUGGAGCACUAUCUCACCUAACAUGGACUAGUGGAGCACUACCUUCCCCCAUGAUCCCCAUUUUCCAUGGACUAAUGGAGUAUUAUCCCAACCAUUAUCUUUGGUUGGUGAACCACUUUCUCCACCAAUAUUCGGUGGGUUGGUGAACCACUUUCUCCACCAAUAUUCAGCCCCUCCACCCAUAUUCUGCCAGCCCUCAUGGCAGUCCCAUUUGUCUUCCUUUCUAUGUCAGCUGCUGACUUAGAAAGUCCAUCAUCUAAGCUCCACCUCCAUGCCAAGUCGCCAGCUCAAAGACUUGCACAGACCCUUGCACGCUGCCUGCCGAAUUCAUUUCUGCCGUAGUCCAUCGUUGCCGAAUUCUAGGCAAUGUGCUCUCGUUGGCGCGCCCCGCGCCUAGACCUCUAACAAACCACCCCCACUAGAAGAGUCUGACGUCCUCGUCGGAAUAGACUUGAGGUAGUCUUGAACUUGAUCCUCAAAUUGCCACAAGUCAAUAUCUUUCUCCCACGAAACCUCCUCAUUUUCCCUCCAUUUUACCAAGAAUUCUGUCCGCCGAUUCUUUCUAUGUUGGCCAAGUCGACGAUGAUCCAUGAUUUUGACAAUCCCAUCAUCGAAUUGCUUGUGAAUGGUAGGAGGAGCUCGGUGUGACUUGCUUCUCUUUGGAUCUUCGUUGUCUUCAUAAAAAGGCCGUAAGUAACUUACGUGAAAGGUAGGAUGAAGUUUCAACCGUUCGGGCAGCUUCAACCUAUAGGCCACAGCGCCUACCUUUUCGAUGACCUCAAAAGGUCCAUCGUACCUUGGCACCAACCCUCGGUGCUUCGUUGUUCCCACGAUUUUCUUCCAAAUCUGCGGAGUUAACUUGAGCAACACCUUGUCACCCACACUGAAUUCCAGCCAUGUCCGCUUUUGGUUGGCGUAUUUGAGCAUUCUUUUCCUUGCCUUACGCAAGCUAUCUUGUGCUUGCUCAAAUAGCUCCUGCCGCUCCAUCGCAAACCUGUAUGCUGUUGGACUCUUCCCACCCGUUAUCUGCACUGCAAUCUCCGCAGGAGUUUGGGGUUGAGCUCCCAACACUAGCUCAAACGGACUUGCUUCCGUUGCCGAGGAUUUUUGAAGAUUGUAGCAAAACUGCGCACUAUCAAGCAACUCCAACCAGUUUCGUUGCAUCGCUGUCACGUAGUGUCUCAAAUAUUCCUCAAGCAAAACAUUUAUCCUUUCCGUCUGCCCAUCAGUUUGCGGAUGGUUGGCAGUUGAAAACUUCAGCCUUGUUCCCAUCAUGUUGAACAAUGCUGUCCAGAAUCGGCCUGUGAAUCGCACAUCGCGAUCACUCACAAUGUCUGAAGGCACUCCAAAGUACUUCACCACGUUUCGGUAGAAUAAUUCAGCAGCCACUUCGGCUGUACACACCGUCGGGGCAGCAACAAACACCGCAUACUUGGUGAAUCUGUCCACAACAACCAUGAUCAUGUUCAUGCCAUCCACCUUUGGAAAACCAACAAUAAAAUCCAUUGAAACUGACACCCAAGGCUUUUCUGGAAUCGGCAGCGGCUGUAACAAGCCUGCCUCUUGCUGCCGCAAAGUCUUGUCUUGUUGACACACUAGACAAGUCCUGACGUAGAGUUCUACAUCAUCUUCCAUCUUCGACCAAUAAUAAGUCUGCGACAAGAGAGCAACCAUCCUUUCCCGUCCCGGAUGUCCAGCCCACUGCGGAUCAUGAGUUUCCGUCAUUAAGUACUUUCGCAGCUCUCCCUUUGGCACGAAGAUUCGACCCCCCUUUGCAUAGAGUAAGUCCUGCUCCAACCAAUACCUCCGUAUUGUCCCUUCUCGUACAAGCUCAACCAUUUUCUUGUACGCUGCAUCCUCCGUAGCAGCUUGGCGAAGUCGAUCCAGCAUAUCUGACUCCACCUGAAAAAUAGCAAGAAUAGUAGCUAUUACCUCGCGUCUGCUGAGUGCAUCCGCAACUUGAUUGUGGCUCCCUAGUUUGUGCUCCCAUACGAAGUCAUAUUCGGCCAAGAAUUCCUGCCACCGAGCUUGUCGUUGCGACAAUUUCUUUUGCGUCUUGAAAAAUGUAUUGGCAACAUUGUCGGUCUUGACAAUAAAUUUUGGCCCCAGCAGAUAUACUCUCCAUAUGCCAAGGCAGUGCACUACUGCCGUCAUUUCCUUCUCAUGGGUCGAGUAAUUCCGCUCCGCAUCACUUAGCUUCCGACUCUCGAAAGCAAUCGGAUGUCCCUCUUGUACAAGCACUCCACCAAUAGCCCUAUCCGAAGCAUCAGUAUGCACUUCGAAUGGCUUCUCAAAAUCAGGCAGCCCCAAGACUGGAGCUGACGCUACUGCUGUCUUCAGCUUCUCAAAAGCUUGUUGGCAGUCAACUGUCCAUUCCCAACUCCGAUCUUUCUUGAGAAGAUCUAAGAGAGGAGUUGUCUUCUUGCUAUACCCCUCGAUGAACCGUCUGUAGUAGUUUGCAAGCCCCAAAAAGGAUCUCAAUUCCGGGACUGAUUUUGGUGAUGUCUGUCAUAACCCAAUUUUUGAUCAUUUUAUUAUUAUUAUUAUUAUUAUUAUUUUAUUUAUUGAAAAGGAUAAAAAAAAUUGAUAAAAAAAAUAAUAAUAAUGAUGAUGAGAAAACAAGUAAAAUGAAGAAUGAAUUAAUUUUUGGGUUAAGGGCAAUAUGAAUGGAAGUUUUGGGGUUUAAUUAAACUUUUGAAUUAAUCUAAUUAAGUUUGGAAUUAAUUUGUUUAAUUAAGAGUUUAAUUGGAGAAUUGAUAAAAUUUUGAGACUUAAUUAAGCUUGAAAUUAAUUUAAUUCAUCCAAUCAAGGAUUUAAUUGGAGAAUUAAUAAGUUUUGAGACUUAAUUAAGCUUGGAAUUAAUUUAAUUAAUCCAAUUAAGGGUUUAAUUGGAUAAUUGAUAAGUUUUAAGACUUAAUUGGACUUGGAUUUAAUUAAAUUAAUGAAAUCAGGGACUUAAUUGAAGAAAUAUCAAAGUUUGGGGUUAAUUGGGGUUGAAAUUGCAACAGAUUAGAGUCCAAGGACUAUCUUGAAACAGGCGCGGGAAUAUAGGGGCAAUUACAGUUUAAACCAGGGGCUUAAUUACAAAAGUUUCGAAACUUCACGGGUCAAAAUGAAAUAGCCGCCUCAUAUCCCAAAACGGCGUCGUUUUAAAGAACGUUGUUCAUCUUCUUCUUCUUCAAACAGAGACCGUUUCCAGCAGUAAUGAUCAGCGACCUCAGUUAUGGACGUUUUAAUGCUUUCGUCCCUCUGCAUGCCAUCCGUUACCACUGAUCGGACUCUAUAAAAAGAGGAACAAUGAAGAAAUGGCGGCGGAGAGAUACCCAAGGGUUGAAUCACAGAACCGAAAGAGAGAGAGAAGCUAAAACCCAGACUCGAAAUAGAACCAGGGGGAUCAUAGAAACGAAAAAAACACAAACGAAGUAGACACCAAGGGGGACUGAAACAAGAAAAGACAGUGGGCAGAGCAGGAACCGAAACACCAAAACUGGGGAAAGAAUCGGCAGAUCACAGAGCCGAACACAGACUGAAACCAAACCCAAAUUCGAAAGGAUAAGCCAGCACCGUCCUUUUUUCUUCAUCACAAGGACUGAGAAAGUAAGGAAAAAAAAAAGAAUAGCAGACGAACAGAAGAGGAAGUAGAGGAGAGAGUGCCCGUUCGACCAUCAACGCCAUGUCUUCAUCGCCAUCGGCUUUGUCUCCAACAGUUACGGGUCAGUUGCAUCAUUUCCCCUGCUUACAAUUUUAAUUCCCCCAACACUGUGCAUUUGAAAUUUAAUUAACACUGACUGUAGCCAGCGUGCGUGAACAAUUCACGCACGCUGGCGCCUGGUCACUGGCUUGGGCCAGUGACCAGGCUGGGUUGGGCUGGGUCUAGCCCAGCCCAUGUGGGCUGAGCUGGGCCCAGCCCGAAAAAAAAUAAAAAAAUAAAAAAAAUAAAAAGCAGAAAAAUAAAAAAUAAAAAAAAUAAAAAUAAAAAUAAAAAAUGUGUAUGCAUGAAUAAAAAUAAUGUAAAUUUAUUGGUUUAUUCACUGACGCCAGAGUCAGGAAUAAAAAUGUGCAUGCGUAAAAAUAAACUUAUUUUUAUUUAUUUAUUCACUGGCAUUAGAGUAGGAAAUAAAAAAUAUAUUGAUCUAAUUUUUGUCGUAGCUACGAAUUUUUACCAACGCCAGAGUUGGAAUUAUUCGAGCUCGAAUAUUCACUGGCGUCAGAGUCAGAAAUAUUAUAAACAAAUCAUCACAGCAUAAAUUAAUAAAUAUUUAGCAAUUUAAGACAAAACCAACAAUGCAGUCUGCCUUAGGCAGAACGUUUAAGGAGUGAUAAUAUCUUCCCUUUUACAUAACCAAUCCCGAAUCAUAGAAUCUCUAUUGACCAGUUAGGGUUCCUAGUGACCAUAAUACUAGGUGGCGACUCCUCAAACAAGACAUUUUUCCCUAAAAGAAUCGGAUGUCAGAAAUCUGUUCUUUUUCCAUAAUUCAAGUGAAUCAUUAUUUUUUGUGGGCCGCCGUGAUGUCGGGUGCGACAAUGUCCAUUCGACGAUGGCUUGGAUCUUUCGUGGAUCCAUCUUCACCUGUCCUUCUCCAAUUAUUUUUCCCUCUUUACAUACAGUUCAUGUUCUCUCAAUCUACUUAAGACUUUAGAAAGAUGAGUUACAUGUUCUUCGAUUCCUCUACUAUAGAUUACAAUGUCAUCUAAGUAGACUGCAACAAAAUUAUCUAAGAAAUCAUAUAACACAUCAUUCAUUAAAUUACAAAACGUUGCUGGAGCAUUUGUUAAGCCAAAUGGCAUAACUAGAAACUCGUAUGAACCAUACCUCGUCACACAAGUCAUCUUAUGCUCAUCUCCGUCAGCAACUCUCACUUGCCAAUACCCCGAUCGCAAGUCCAGCUUCGUAAAGACAGAAGCGCCACAUAAUCUGUCCAUCAAAUCCUGAAUCAAAGGAACAUGAUAUUUGUUUUUGAUGGUUACCUUGUUGAGUGCCCGGUAGUCCACACACAUGCGAAGGCUCCCAUCCGCCUUCUUCUGAAACAACACCGGAGCACCAUACGGAGCCUUGGAAGGUCGAACGAAUCCCGACUCAAUCAAUUCUUCCAAUUGCUUCCUCAAUUCUGCCAAUUCUCUUGGCGACAUUCGGUAAGGAGCUUGAGAUGGUGGCUUUGCCCCCGGCACCAGCUCAAUUCGAUGAUCAACAGCCCUCUUAGGCGGGAGUUUCUUUGGUAGCUGAGGUGGCAUAACAUCUUCGAAUUGAUGCAGCACGCUAGCAAUCUCGUUCGGCACCUCCCCACAAUAAUCAGUUCUCUCCUCCACUAUUGUUGCUAGAAACACAUCCCCUCCUUUCCGCAAUGCUUUAUCGAUUGCAAUGGCCGAUAUUAAGCUCUUCUUUCCUUUCGCAACAUUCGCAACUGCGACGUUGCAGCAGGGAACAAAACAUGGGCAUCCCUCACUCGCAAUCAUAAUCCCAUUGAGAUACGGCAUUAAAACAAUCUUGGCUUUCCGUAGAAAAUCAAGGCAAAGGAUAAUAUCAUAAUCAUCAAGAGUUAUGACAAGCACAUCAUGCUUACCUCUCCACCGAUCCAGCACUAUCAGCACAUCAUAAGACAUCCCAGCAAUUUUCUGCGCCUUUGAGUUCACUGCCUUCAUGGAUGUCUGGCUAUCACUCAGCCGCAAGCCGAGUUCCUUCACCAGCCGAUCUGCCACAAAUGUGUGGGUUGCGCCUGAAUCCAGCAUAGCAUUUAUAUUAUUGCCGUUUAUCUCAAUCUUUACAUACAUGAGGCUGUCCGUUGCCCCUGGCUUCCCUUUUCGUAAGGUCUCAAUCCUUGCCAAGUCUUUCUCAACAUGGCAGUUUUCGGCAGCCGCAUCCUCUGAUUCUGCUACCAAGCAAUUUAACACACACAUGGGAUUGACGUGCGUAAGCAUCCCCUCUUCAUCAUCGCUAUUCCCAGCCCGAAUAGCAUUCAGCUUCUCCCUCUUUGGGCAUUCCCUCGCAAAGUGAGGACCAUCACAAAUGAAGCAUGUAAGGUUCGGUUUAGUACCAUUACCUGGUGUGCUCGUAAAUUUUGACUUGCCUUUCUCCGCGGCAGUAGCCUUUCCUGCACCCCCACCGAACUUCUUCUUUGGCCUUUCCUCCUUGCUCUUUCCCUUUGACUUGAAGGAGGCUGAUUUAUAGCUCUCUCUCGUAGGAGCUUUAUAAUCUACCAAAUUGUCCGCGGCAGCAAUAGCAGAAGACAGAUCCUUCACAUUCUGUCGUCGUAGCUCUGCUUGCGCCCAAGGUUGCAAUCCGGACAUAAAAUUGAACAACCUGUCCUCCUCGGACAUGUUCUCGAUGUCGAGAAUUAAAGAACUGAAAGACUUAACAUACUCACGAACUGACCUGUCCUGUUUGAGUCUUUUCAAUUCGUCUCAUGCAAUCCACGAAGUGUUGUUUGGGAGGAACUGCUCCUUUAGCUCCUUCUUGAGACGAUCCCAUGUCUCAAUCUUUGGACGUCCCGCACUUAGAUCAUCUUUGGUUCUCGUCCGCCACCAAAGCUUUGCGUCACCCGUGAGAUACAUCACGGUGAGAUCAACUUGUUCCGCUGCGCCAAUCCUCGCAACACUGAAGUAUUGCUCCAUGUCCCAUAAGAAAUUUUCCAGCUCUUUGGAACUUCUUGCCCCACCAAAGCACUUUGGUUCGGGCAACUUAGGCUUAGAAGAACUUACCCCAAGAGGAGUGUUUGUGACUGCCCUCUUCAGAACAGCAAUCAUCUCUUCGGCAGCAGCCAAUCGUUCACUCGAUUCUGCCGCAAGCGAGAUGUACAAGCUCUCAGCGCUUUCAGCGCUAUCCAUCGCUUCCUUCAAGCGAUCCAAGACAGUGCGUUCUUCCUCUUCGUCAUCUGGCCCUAUCAAAGUCUCCAGACGCGUCAACCGUUCCCGAAUGGCUUCCAUGGCUUCGGGCUGCACGUUGUUGAGUCAACCGUGCUCUGAUACCAAUUGUCACGGGGUUAAAUUUUUCGCCUCGCAAAUAAACCCGUGCGGCAGCCUAGUCCCGCUAGACUCAGCCUUGCUUUACCCUUUCACUUGUGUUUUCCUACGACUAUGUGUUUCGCUCACUCAAGGAGGUUCUCACAAUCGUCUCGUCGUAGACAAUGCACAAACACAAGCAAGCAUAAGCAAUCACACCGAACUUUUACAAGAAUCCCUCUCAACCUUUAUUUAUCUCAUCAACAAAGGAAAUACACAAAAAUAGUGUGUUCUAUGCACAAAUUCGCAUGCUACACAGCAGAGGCUUGGCAGCCUAUUUAUAGCCAAAUGUGAGCUUCCAUUCUCACCUAGCAUCCCCUAAUUUCGGGGCAUAGUGGAGCACUAUCUCACCUAACAUGGACUAGUGGAGCACUACCUUCCCCCCAUGAUCCCCAUUUUCCAUGGACUAAUGGAGUAUUAUCCCCACCAUUAUCUUUGGUUGGUGAACCACUUUCUCCACCAAUAUUCGGUGGGUUGGUGAACCACUUUCUCCACCAAUAUUCGGCCCCUCCACCCAUGUUCUGCCUGCCCUCAUGGCAGUCCCAUUUGUCUGCCUUGCUAUGUCAACUGCUGACUUAGAAAGUCCAUCAUCUAAGCCCCACGUCCAUGCCAAGUCGCCAGCUCAAAGACUUGCACAGACCCUUGCACGCUGCCUGCCGAAUUCGUUUCUGCCGCAGUCCAUCGCUGCCGAAUUCUAGGCAAUGUGCUCUCAUUGGCGCGCCCCGCGCCUAGACCUCUAACACCAAGAGUCUUUCAUGGUUGCCUUGAAUUGAUUGACAGGAAGAAGUCUGAAUGUUUUUAGAAAGAAGCAGCCUUCAAGCUUUUCAAAACCAAUCUCUGUAUCUAUUAACAAAAACUCUAAAUCACGAGUACUAGACACAAUUAAUUAUGUUUUUUGUAAUUAUUAGAUAAUUGAAAUCAUCACUAACUCCUUUGUUCAUUUUCAUCUUUUUUUAUUACCCUUAGCAUGAUACACAGAAAAGAAGAAGGGUUCAAGAGAGAACAAUAAUGGAGGGGAAUCAAAAUCUUUGUUUGAUUUUAUGUUGUGUUUUUGGUACAUUGAUCAACAAUAGCAUGGAAGAGCUUGAUAGCAAUAACCUUUUCGACCUCAAUAAUUAAUGUUAACGCGUGGAUCCAGUUGUUGUGGAAACUUUGCAAAGGAUCUGCAGGAAGAAAAAUGAAAUUUGCUUGGUUGUUUGGUUUGUCUGUCCAGUACCUGAGAAAAAACAAAAGGAAAGCACUAUUCUUAUAAAUAAUGCAGGGGUAUACUAGAUUUUUCUCAUGAGAUCACAAUAAUUUAAUGAAAAGUAAACAAAAUAAAUUAUAAAAUUUAAUUUUUAAUUAAAUCUAUAUUAAAAGAUAAAAUUAAAAAAAAAAACUAAUUAAAAAAAAAUCUAAAUCAACUGAAUUAACUUGUUAAACCUAAGAUCCGUAUCAUGAGAAUGUGAUAACUAAAUAUAAAAAAAAUUUAAUAUUAAUGAACUAAAUUGAACAAACAAAAUUAAUUAUAAAGAAAAAAGCAAAAAUAAAAACACUAUAACCGAAGAAGAUCAGUUUUAGUUAUCAAUCGAAUUUUAGCAAAAUCUAGGAUCCAAGAAUUGGCCUCUGUAACAUAGUAUGUAUUCCGAGCCAAUCUGGGCUAGGACUUGAAACAAAUGUUGUAUACUGUUUGCACUGUCACUUUGCUUACCCUCUUAGGUUUUUAUUGAGAUUAGGAUUCUAUUGUAGCUCUUUUUUCUCCUUUUAUUAUAAUAAAAUAAUAUCUAUGGAUUAAUUUUGGUAUAAUUUAAGAAAGUAAGUCCUUUAAUCAAAUUUUAGAUUGACCAUCCACAAUGUGUUAAAAGUAAAUGUUAAUUUAUAAAAUAAUAUCCUUACUGCGCUAUAAAGCUGAUAUUGCUGUUGAUAGCUUUUGCUGGGUUGAUCUCUUUGGUUUAUCUCUAUCAUUCUGGGCAAAAGAUGAUUUUCACGCAGUUAUAGCUCGUUAUGGCUGUUUGAUUGGAAUUGAUAAUGCUAAAAGCACUUUUACAAAUUUGACGGCAGCAAGGGAAGGGUGUUAUUCUGCAGAACUCGGAAGGAGAUUAGUAGAUAUUGACCAUGUUGUUUCAUUGUCAGGGAAAGCACUUAUUUCUUUAAUGUAUGUUUCCGGAGAUUAUUGCGGUGGGAUAUGUUUUGGCAGCUAAUGCAAUUCACAAUGACCUUGGUCCUUGAGAUCUUUACCUAUUUUGGUUUUGGUCACCAAACUUCAUUUGUUUUCAAUUACAUCCUUGCAAGUUCUACUAACACGGUUCUAUUUGUUGUUAUCCACUUCGAUUUUCAUGUUCUUGCAUUUAUCAUAUAUCUUUAAAUAUUCCUACAUUGAAUUAGAAAUCAAUUUUUUUUAACCCUCCUAACCCAGUUGCUAUUAUGGCUAGUUCUCCACCUGCAUGUUCUUCCUUCUGAAGCGUGGCAUCGGUCUUUAGAUACACUUACUUAGUCCCUGUUAUUUAUAAAGCUUCUAAUUUAGUUCAAGUCAAUAAAAGCUUAGCAGUUUGAUACAGAAGCUCAUGGCCAAGUAAGAGAUGUUUGUUUUGGAUGUAAUAAAUAUUCAUAUUGGAACAUAAUAUUCAUCUCUCAAAUCCCUAAUCCAGUAGAUCAUAUAAAUAAUCGUUACCUUUUAUGAAUAUGAUUAUUGCAUUGCUAAUAAUUUGCAAGAAAGAUGAUGAACAUUUUUUAGUGAAUUAAGUUCAAUUAUAGAAAAUCCUGUACAAAUUAUACAAAAUUCUGCUUUAAGUUCUUGGAACCUCGCUUUGGGAUUAAUUAGUGAGAAUAAGAAAAUUCUCUGUGAAUUAUACAAAAUUUAUUAGUAGUCAUCGAUAUAAUAUUUAUUAUAGGUUAUCAAUAUUAAAUAAUGACUUAUUUUCUAAUAUAAACUAUUGAACGGGAUUUGUAUAUAAAAAUAAUUAAAUUCAGAUUUUUCAAUUAUCUUUAAACAUAUUACAGUUUUAAUCGGUGAACGGUCUAUCAUAUAAAUUAUAAAAAAAAUAUUUAUUAUAUAUAUAUAUAGUAAUAACAAAUUAAAUGAUAGUAACGUUAUUGUAAAGAAUAUGUUAUACUCAUUGUCAAAUUGGAUGAGUUACGUGGAGAAGGAUGCUCAUUGUCAAACUGCUAUUCCUAUCACAUUAUUAUAAAGAAUAAAAGCAACGGAAGAAUAUUGUUUGAAUAUAAACGAAUAGCAGCGACUGUGGUCCACUUGGGAAUUGAGACUAUGCAUAUAUUCAGUGCAUCGUAUUCGGUUCCUUCCCGGUGAGAUGCCAAAUUGGUUGAGCAGUGGAGAAUAAAAGCAACGGUUGGGAUUCAUUUGAUCUCGUACACCUUAAAGAAUGUAGGGUCCAUGCAAUUAAAGAAUGUACGUUGUCGAGGUACUAUUUCUUUUAAUAUUUCUUGCACAAGAAACACACAAUUAGCACUCCAAAUUAAUAUUUUUUAUAUAUAUAUAUAUAAUUAUACUCCGUCAGCAACUACCUCGAAAUUACCUCAAUACCAAUACACGCUUGAGAAAUUUCCUUGCUUUUUUUUCCUGUAUGUGUUACAUUUUUAUCUUUUAUAAUUAUAAUUAUUGCAUUGCUAAUAAUUUACAAGAAAUAAUAUUCUUUAUCUGAAAAGGGCUUGAGAAAACCUAAGCAUUCCAAGUAUGAAGUGUUUUAUUGUUUUAUUGCUAUAAAGUUUUUCACACUUACAAUAUAGAAAGAGAAAAAUUAAAAAAGAAAAAGAAAAAAAAGAAAGAGCAAAAGGAAACACUAAUGCAGUAUGAGAGUGAGAAUGAGAGAGAGGUAAUUUCGACUAUACAUAGAACUCGACUGGACAGAAGACUUAAAGAUAAAAUAGCUUUGAUUUACAACCAUGGCUUCAAGGGCCUGGAAUAAAACCAGGUACAAGUUUGUUUCUAUCUAAGAAAGCAAGAAGCUCCCACGGUGCACGCUCUCAACAAACAAGUAGGAAUUGAAUUCAAAGGAAUAAAUCAUUAAAUGCGGAGUUGGUGUUCUCCUGUUUGUGGUUCUGAUAAAUGUAAGAACGGACAGAGAGAUGAAAUAGGAAAGAUCCAUGUAUCUAUUAGUUGGCAGCAGUUAUCAUUCGGCCCUUGCCGCCCACGAAAUCCCUUUGUCCUGCUGUUAAUUUCUUAAUGACGCGUAUCAGGUGUUUGAUAAAAUUCCUCUGCUGGAAAAAAAAAAAAACCAUGUUUAGAAUGCUUUAGUCCUUUUCGAGUGGAAAGUGGUGUGAAAGUGGGAAGUACUGUGAGAGCUUUAUGCCACUUUCUAUCUUAGAUGUAAUUGCUUUGGCAAAAAGAAACAAAUAAAAGUUAGUGUUCGCACUGCUUUAGCCCAAGAGUCUUUCGUGAUCGGCUCUGUUUAUUUGCAGGAAAGUAAAUUUUUUUUGAAAAGUAAAUUUUAAAAAAAAUAAAUUUCAAAAAUGUAUUUUUCAAUGAAAAAAAAAAAAGAACAUAAAAAAAAAUAAAAUAUGUUGGUAAUAAAUAUAAAAGAUGGAUGAAAAUAUUAAAAAAUAAGAAAGAGAUAUAGAAUCUCUUUGUAAAUUUUCUACAAACUUAAUUACAAUUAUAUUAUAAUUUCUUUCCUAAAAUUAUUCAAAAUAUAGUAUUAGAAUUAUAUAAUACUCGGUUUUAAUAUAUAAUUAAAGAGUCUUUCCUAAAUCAAAUAAUAAAAAUAUCGUAUAACUCUUUUGGAUGAAUUGUUAAGUAGGGACUGUUUGGGGUCCUGACAAGGCGGAUUUUAUUUGAAUAUAUUAUUUGAUUAGUGUUGACUCUACUAUUGCUGCAUUGACGGGAAAUUUCAGUAUUCCAUAUCCUUGCUUUACUCUGCAGCUGACUUCUCUGUCCCAUUGCUACCAUUUCAUAGCCAACUCUUUGUUAUAUUUAACUUACUCUUCUUUGCUUCUUGUUCGUAACGAUAACUUGAAAGCCUUACGUUCAGAUAGAUAAUCAUUGACCAGUUCAUCCUAUAUCAUUCUAUUUAAUUUAGAAAUGCAGAAAGAAAAACGCAAGCAAUCCAAAGAUGAAGAAAUCGAUUCAUCCUCGCGAAAGAGAAGAAAAGCUGACCUCAGUAAGCCUAUUUAGAGAUUACAAUUAACCUCAUUUCAAUAUCAUAGCUUUGGAAUUUCAUAGCUAAGUCUUUGUUAUAUUGCUCCAUUGGUAAUUGACUGUGCCUUGAUUUCUGCAGCUGCCAUGAUAGAGCCGGAGUCUUCUCGAUCUAGACCAGAAGGGGCCUAUGAUGUCUUCUUGAGUUUUAGAGGAGAAGACACUCGCAAGUCAUUUACAGAUCAUCUAUACACUGCCUUGGUCCAAGCAGGAAUCCACACUUUUCGAGAUGAUGAUGAACUUCCGAGAGGAGAAGAAAUCUCCCAUCAUCUCCUCAGGACGAUUCAAGAAUCAAAGAUAUCCAUAGUUGUCUUCUCAAAAGGAUAUGCUUCUUCUAGAUGGUGUCUCAAUGAACUUGUAGAGAUUCUUAAGUGCAAAAAUAGGAAAACCGGUCAGAUUGUUCUUCCUAUAUUCUAUGACAUUGAUCCUUCAUAUGUGAGAAAACAGAAUGGCAGUUUUGCAGAAGCAUUUGUUAAACAUGAAGAGCGUUUUGAAGAGAAGUUGGUGAAGGAGUGGAGAAAAGCUCUUGAGGAGGCUGGAAAUCUAUCUGGAUGGAAUCUCAAUGAUAUGGCAAAUGGGUAUGCCUUUUCUCUCUAAAUUUCACUUGCAGACGUUUAUGGAGUAAUUUUACAUUACAUUUUUCAAUGUGAAGUAACAAAAUAUUUCUUUUUAGCAUACUUAAUUGACUUGCUAUCGAUGACUUGCUUUUUUUCUGUGAGCAGGCAUGAAGCAAAAUUUAUCAAAGGGAUUAUCAAGGAUGUGUUGAAUAAAUUAGAUCCCAAGUACUUAUAUGUUCCUGAACACCUAGUAGGUAUGGAUCAGCUUGCUCACGAUAUUUUGUACUUUCUAAGUACUGCAACAGAUGAUGUACGCAUUGUGGGCAUACAUGGGAUGCCAGGAAUAGGAAAGACAACUAUAGCAAAAGUUGUAUUUAAUCAACUCUGCAAUGGAUUCGAGGGAAGCUGUUUUCUUUCGAAUAUCAAUGAAACAUCAAAACAAUUUAAUGGUCUGGCUCUUUUACAAAAGCAACUUCUUCAUGAUAUUUUAAAACAAGAUGCUGCGAACAUCAAUUGUGAUGAUAGAGGAAAGGUUCUGAUCAAAGAGCGACUUUGUUGUAAAAGAGUUCUUGUUGUUGCUGAUGAUGUUGCUCAUCAAGACCAGCUAAUAGCUUUGAUGGGAGAUCGAAGUUGGUUUGGUCCCGGAAGUAGAGUAAUUAUUACAACAAGAGAUUCAAAUCUUCUUCGUGAAGCAGAUCAAACAUAUCAGAUCGAAGAAUUGAAACCAGAUGAGUCCCUUAAGCUUUUCAGCAGGCAUGCCUUUAAGGACUCCAAGCCAGGAAAAUAUUAUAUUGAGCUUUCAAAGAAAGUCGUUGGUUACUGUGGAGGACUUCCUUUAGCUCUUGAGGUUAUAGGAGCUCUUCUGUACAGGAAAAACAGAGGUAGAUGGGAAAGUGAAAUUGACAACUUGAGCAGAAUUCCAAACAACGAUAUUCAAGGAAAGCUUCUAAUAAGUUAUCACGCACUUGAUGAUGAACUACAAAGGGCAUUCCUUGAUAUUGCAUGCUUCUUUAUUGGUUUAGAGAGAGAAUACGUCGCAAAAGUGCUAGGAGCCCGUUGCCGUUACAAUCCAGAAGUUGUUUUGGAAACUCUCUGUGAAAGGUCUCUGAUUCAAUUUCAUAUGUGUAUAAUUAAAGAUGAAAGGCAGUUAUUUGAAAGGAUGGUAACCAUGCAUGAUCUAUUACGAGACAUGGGAAGGGAGGUCGUUCGUGAAUCGUCUCCAAAAGAACCUGGAAAGAGGACCAGAAUUUGGAAUCAAGAGGAUGCAUGGAAUGUACUUGAGCAGCAGAAGGUAAGAGCUCAAUGCAUACAUGAAAGCAUAGUCAUGCGUAUUUUCUAGUCAAACUUAUUACAAAUAAUUGAAUGAAAGUUGUAUUUUUUUUUUUUUUAGGGUACGGAUGUUGUAGAGGGUCUUGCACUGGAUGUCAGAGCAUCAGAAGCUAAAUCACUUAGCACAGGAUCAUUUGCAGAAAUGAAAUGCUUAAAUUUACUCCAAAUCAAUGGAGUACAUCUCACCGGAUCCUUCAAACUGCUUUCUAAAGAGUUGAUGUGGAUUUGUUGGCAUGAAUGUCCUUUGAAAUAUUUUUCAUCUGAUUUUACCUUGGACAAUCUAGUUGUUCUUGAUAUGCAAUACAGUAACCUCAAAGAACUAUGGAAGGGAAAAAAGGUACGAAACAUGCUACAAUCACUAAAAUUUUUCCAGUAUGUAAUUUAUAUUUACAUGUUAUGACUUUCUAUUAUUAAUUUUCAUUAUUUUCCUCUCUAUUAUAACAGAUUCUUGACAAGCUAAAAAUCCUUAAUCUCAGUCAUUCUCAGCAC